rnacentral:lncRNA from 1 species
GGUGAUGCCCUGCCAGAAGAGGGUCCACUCGGCGUACGAGAAUGCCGGAAGCGUGGACCCGACCAGGAUGCGACCCGAGAUCUUAGAGAAGGCGGAGGUACAGCAGCUGUUGAACGAGCUGUUCAACUUCGCGGACGGAGGCUUCAUCCGUGGUAGUGAUCGGGUGCAAGCCUUCAAGUUGGGGCGACCAGCACCUAAGGUAUGUUACUGAUUAUUUCGCUUUAGCAUCCGUAUAUUGUCUGCAGCUGACUUAUCUUUGUUACUUUUGCAGAUCGGAGAUGUUUACCGGUGCACAGUGUACGUAUCACUGGCACCUGGAAUGGAGAAUCCUGCGGGAGAAGAUCCGCCGGAGGAAGACGCUGCUCGGUGUACUCAUUACACCAGCAGUGAGAAGGACCAGGCCCGCCCCGCCCCGACCACCGAGGAUAGAGUGGCAGGGAAAAGGCCAACGGCGGUGGAUCCGUCGCCGGCACCGACGCUGCCGGCAGAGAGCAGCCGAGCGCCAAAGCGUCGUCGGUUCGUUCGGAUUACCGACGACGACGACGAGGAGGAGGAGGCCGCACCGUCGUUGGUACGAAGGCCUCAUAGCCGUCUGGACAGCGUGCCGACCACUGCUGAUCGGGUGUCCAGCGACCCUCCUGUGCCUCGUGUCACGGAGACGGGGGCACAGGUGCUGACUGGCCGGGCAAGGAGGAGGUUCACCGCGACCCACCGUCGAUCGGACGUGUAAGUGUUCAACUUACGUAUUUUUUUAGCUGUUGUUGAAAAUAUCGCUCUGUUAUGUAGCGCGGCGUCGGACGUCAACCCCGACCAGGCCGCAGAGGAGGGGGCGGCCGCUCCUGUUGCCGCCGUUGAGGACGCCGUGCCACAGGUCACAGAGCAACCUGCAGCGGCGGCGGGCGCUGAGGAUCAAUCUGCCCCGGCGAGUGCCGCCGAGGGCACUCAGCCGAGGGGUGAGGAGGCAGCAAGGACCCCUCCCCCGAGUACUAUUGCAGAGAGGGAGAGCAGAGUCCCGACUCCUCCAGCCGAAGAAGGGAGGGUGCCGUCACCGCCCCGAGCAGGGGCUUCUUCGCCCGUGGGCUCCCCUGGCCUAGACCAAGGACCAGUGAUGCCCUCGACCGCAGCCGGAGGCAGUGCGGCAAACGAGGAGCCCCAGGAGGCCUCUGACGACGACGUGGAGGAGGUCCAGGGUCGUCCCCGUGAUGGCCGCCAGCACGUCUACGUGUGGCGCCAACGCGGGGACCACUUUAUUGGACACGAGGAGCUCGCGGAGACGGAGGAGGCCGCGAGGGUGGAGCGCGCGGCUAAGCGCCUCGUGGACGAGGUUAAGGUAGGUGGUCCUGUGUGCUCCUGGUAUAACUUUGUGCAAUUUUCCUGUGUUCGACAUUUGUCCUUUCUUGCAGGGCGCGAUGAAAACGGCGAAGUACCGGAAACGGUGCUUCGACCAGAUCGAAGGAAUUGUGGCCGAGAACAAGGCCCUGGCCGCGGAGGUGGACCGGCUUCGGUCAGAAGUUGGAGAAAAAGUAUCCAAGAUGAGCGCUCAGGAAGAGCACCGUCUCGAGCUUACCCGACGCUUGGCCGAUCAGUUUCGGCAGCGAGAAGGUUAGUCUCGCACUCCGAGGCAGCUGCUUGUAGCUGCGUUGGUUAACUCCGCUGACCAGAGGACUAUUCAUGUAGGUUUGGAGGGGGAGGUCGCACGCCUUCGUCAGGAGAAAGAGCAGCUCAGCCAAGAGCUUGCCAGUGCGCUGGAGGCCGGGCGCUGAGCAGGAGAGGAGUUGGGUCGGAGGGACCGGGAGUUGUCUGGUAAUACGCGCCGCCCCGUUAUCUGCCACUGAUCGCUCUUUUCGAUAUGUUGAAAAUAACAUCUUGCUUGAUUUGCAGUGCUCAAGGUGAACGCCAAGAAGCACUUGGACGAGCUGGUCAAGGACCGGGACUCCUGGAAGGUCAAUUGUUGUAAGAUCUGGAAAGGAGUAUCCCUGGUUCUGGACUUGAUCAGCCCCGAGCUGCCGGAGAGCCAGCCCCGCGCGCCGAGAUUGACUCCAGUUGAAAAGGCGCAACGGGCGUGGGACUGGCUCCAGCAAUUCGUGAAGGACGCCGGGGAGUUUGCUGGCGCGCAUGUCCUUAGCAUGGUGCGCGCCCACUACCCCGUGGUCGACUUGACCAGGCUGGAGAAGGGGUAUCCCAAGGAGGUCGGCCUGCGGGAGGCGGACGAACCUCGGGGUGGUCUGCUGGACUUGUCGUCGACGGUGAUCGGCGACAUCAAUCUAUGCGGAACGGCCACUCCCCCCGACCAGCCGGGUUCAGACAGGUCGGCCAGGGAGCUGUCGGGCGCGUCCAUUGCGGGAGAUGGGCGGUCGACGCCUGCGGUCUCGACCAGCCAGGCGCCGGUGGCCCCGACUCCUUCGUCCGGGCAGCAAGGCCAGGCGGGUGAUCAGCCCGAGCAGUAGGCCAGUAGGAUAGUCUGUAGGAGUAGACUAGUGUCCGCCCGUCAGGGUGUUUAUUGUAAACUUUGUAUGUAAACUUUGUAAUAAAGUUUGCUUUUGUCAUGACUACUAUUUUGAGCGCUGUGGAGUUAUCUGAGUGACGUGCCACUGUAUUUGACUUUGUAGUCGCUAAGAGCUUCCGUUGUAGAAGGCUUUCCGAGUUCUGCGUGUAACAAAGUGUAGGCAAAAAAGAGAAACUUUUAUUAUUGACAGCUAUAAGAUAUUUACAAGCGAAAGUUACUAGAGCUUAUGGGUAAAAUCGGCGCAGUUUGUCUAUGUGCCAAGAGUUAGGCACGCGUGUUCCGUCUGGGUAUGCCAAUCUGUAGGACGUGGGUCGUGUGACUUCGGCGACCACGAAGGGUCCUUCCCAGGGAGUGGAUAGCUUGUGCAUUCCCUCUUGGCUUGUUUUCCACCUAAGUACCAGAUCGCCGACCACGAAGGAACGGUCCUUGACGUUCCUGUUGUGGUACCGCCUGACUGCCGCGAGAUACUUUGCUGUUCGGAGACAAGAAUUCAAACGCCUUUCUUCCAUGCAGUUGAUUUCGAGCUCUCUGGCGUUGUCGGCUGUUGACUGGUCAAAGUUUUCAAUCCUAGGGGAACCGAAGGUUAUGUCAGACGGCAGGACUGCCUCGGUGCCGUAAACCAUGAAGUAGGGUGACACUCCUGUGUUCCGACUAGUCUGAGUUCGGAGGCCCCAGACCACGGCCGGUAACUCUUUCAUCCAUCGACCGGGUGCUCUGUCGUUCUCGGUGUACAGCCUUUUCUUUAGGGCGUCAAUGAUCAUUUCGUUCGCGCGCUCAACUUGACCAUUGGCCCGUGGGUGAGCUACUGACACGUAUUUUAUGACAACGCCCCUGUCAUCGUAGAAGUCCCAAAAUGUGGUGCCAGUAAACUGAGUACCCAGGUCGGUGAUUAUACUGUUUGGGAUCCCGAAUCUGUGUAUGAUUUGAUUAAGGAACUCCACAGCCUUCUUGGAGGUUGCUUUGACCAGUGGCAUGUAUUCAAUCCACUUGGAGAACUUGUCGAUUAACACGAAAACGAACUUGAAGUUGCCAGGGGCUGGUUUAAAUGGCCCGAUCAUGUCGAGCCCCCAGCAGGCAAAGGGCCAGGAUGACGGGAUGGUUUGAAUCUCAUGAGCAGGUACGUGGGUCCUUUUAGCGAAGAACUGACAUCCCUCGCAGUGUCGGACCAGUUUUUCUGCGUCGUUAACCGCGGUUGGCCAAUAAAAACCUGCUCGGAAGGCUUUCCCGACCAGCGUUCUGGAUGCAGCGUGAUUGCUGCAGGAUCCGGCGUGUAUGUCCUCUAGGAGCUUGAUGCCAUCAUCUUGGGAUAUGCAUUUGAGCAGUACUUCAGAACUUGCAUUUUUCCGCAUAAGUUUGCCGUUCACCAGUAUGUAAUUCUUUGAUCGUCGAAUGAGGCGCUCAUUCUCUGUUUUGUCCUGAAAGCCAGACCCGUCCGAUAUAUAUCUUAUGAACGGGGUGCGCCAAUCACGGCCACUGGUUGUCAGAGUUGCAUCGUCUAUGAGCAUUGCCUCAGUGAGUUGCUUUUCGACCAGGCCUGUGCCCACACUUGGCUCCUGGAUGUCCUGGACGAAAAUACCCCGCGGGAUCUGGGCCCGAGAUGACCCUAACUUUGACAACGCAUCUGCUGCCUGGUUCUUAUCCCGGACCACGUGGAUGUACUCUAUGCCGUAGAAGUUGGUUUCCCAUUUGCGAAUUUCUUUACAGUAGAGAUCCAUCUUCUCGUGGGUUGCGUCCCACUCCUUGUUGAGCUGAUUGAUAACUAAAGCAGAGUCGCCAUAGACAUAGAGGCGUUUGACUCCCAGCUCAACGGCUAGCCUUAUGCCGUGCAGGCACGCUUCGUAUUCGGCGACAUUGUUUGAUGCCGGAAAGAGGAUUCUAAGGACGUAACGCAGUUUGUCCUUGUUAGGCGACACGAACAGUAUCCCAGCGCCGGCGCCGUUGAUGUUCAAGGAUCCGUCAAAGAACAUUAACCAGUGGUCGGAGAGGUCGGGAACGGGAGGCUCGUUGAGAUCCGUCCAUUCAGCAAUGAAAUCGACCAGGGCCUGAGAUUUGACUGUGGUGCGGCUCUGGAAUUCCAGGGAAAAUGGGCAUAAUUCCAUCGCCCAUUUUACGAUUCUGCCGUUGGCGUCUUUAUUGCGCAGAAUGUCCCCAAGAGGGAAACUGGUGGUUACCAAGACUCGAUGGCCAUCGAAGUAGUGCUUCAGCUUUCUUGACGUUAUUAGAAUGGCGUAUAUGAGCUUCUGUAUUUGUGGGUACCUGGCCUUGGACUCGAUUAGGACUUCGCUUAUGAAGUAAACGGGUCUCUGGACCUUGUAGACAUGACCUGGCUCGUCUCGUUCGACCACUAUUGCCGUGGAAACAACCCUGUCGGUUGCAGCAAUGUAAAGGAGUAGGUCUUCAUUGGGCUGAGGCGCUGUAAGAACAGGCGGUGAAGUGAGGAAAGUCUUAAGCUGAGUGAACGCGGCGUCGGCUUCCUCUGUCCAAGAAAACUUUCCCGACGCCUCCAAGAGUUUGAAGAAAGGGAGGCCUUUUUCUCCUAGUCUUGAGAUGAAGCGACUAAGAGCGGCCAUACAUCCGGUGAGCUUCUGAAUAUCCUUGACGUUUUUAGGUGGUCGCAUGUCGAGUACUGCUUUUACUUUUGAAGGAUUUGGCCAUAUGCCGUCGCGACUGACAACGUUGCCGAGCAGUAGACCAGAAGGAACACCGAAGAUGCACUUUUUGGGAUUAAGCUUCCACUUGUACUUAUUAAGCGCCUUAAAAGUUCGGUCUAAGUUGUCAAUUAGGGUGUUUGCAUCCCUUGUUUUGACGACGACAUCGUCUAUAUAGGCCUGGACGAGGUCAUCAUGAAUCUCGUCGUGGAGGCAUUGCUGUAUGGCCCGUUGAUAAGUGGCUCCGGCAUUUUUGAGUCCAAAUGACAUAGUCGUGUAGCAAUAUGCGCCGAAAGGAGUAAUGAAAGACGUUUUUAUCUGAUCUUCUUCCUUUAGCGAGAUCUGGUGAUAGCCAGAGUAGCAGUCUAGAAAAGAGAGGAGUUCGCAUCCGGCCGUUGAGUCGACCACCUCGUCGAUGCGAGGGAGACCAAAAGGAUCUUUAGGACAGUGUUUGUUGAGAUUAGUGUAAUCAACGCACAUUCUCCAUUCAUUAUUCUUUUUGCGUACAAGAACCGGAUUGGCGAGCCAAUCGGGAUGAUACACUUCUUUUAUGAAUCCGGCUGCUAGAAGCCGUGUUAUUUCUGUCCUAAUAGCCUCCUUUUUGUCACGAGCGAACCGUCGCAGCUUUUGCUUGAUGGGUCUUGCGGUCUUCGAGACAUUUAAGGAGUGCUCGAUCAGGUUUCGUGGGACGCCGGGCAUGUCUGCGGGUUUCCAUGCGAAGACGCUUACAUUGUCCCUUAGAAACCUGACGAGCGCGUCUUCCUAUUUAGGGUCCAGGUUGGCCCCGAUGAGGGCCGUCUUCUCGGGGCUGCCUUUGACCAGCUGCACUUCCUUGUGCUCCUUGGAUUUUGAGUUCUUCCUGGCGGUCUCCUGCUCGGGUAGUCGAAGCUGGUCGGGAGGUAGCUGUGCAGCCUGGGUUGCUGUCUCAGCCAUGCGAAUUGAGAGAUCGAUUGCUUGAGUGAUCUUGAAGCUCUCCUCCUCGCAAGUAUAUGCAGUGUAGACAUUGCCCCUGACAGUUAGGACUCCUUUCUCUGUGGGCAUUUUGAGGACCAGGUAUGAGUAAUGCGGGACCACCAUGAAUUUUGUCAGCGAUGGUCGGCCCAGUAUGGCGUGGUAAGUUCCAUCAAAGUCGGCGACCACAAAGUUGACGAACUCUGUCCGAAAGUGGUCGGGCGUGCCAAAUUGGACAGGCAGUGUUAUCUGUCCGAGGGGCACUGAACUCUGGCCUGGCAAAACUCCCCAAAAUUGAGCAUCGUAGGGUUUUAGUUGUGCCGGUGAUAUCUUGAGGGCGGGCAGGCUGUUGCGGAAAAGGAUGUCAAUGGAACUUCCUCCGUCUACGAGCACGCGCUCGAACCUGAUGCUGUUGAUGCAUGGGUCCAGGAUUAGAGGGAAACGACCUGGCUCUGGGAUAGCGGCCCACUGAUCCUUUCUGCUCAAGGAGAUCUCCCUGUGCGACCACGGGGGAAAUUUCGGGUCGGCGAUCAGGCCGUCCGUGCUGUCUAUGUUGAGGCAGGCUCUCUUUAAGAGCUUUCUUUCUCGCUUGGAUUCGAUGGAGACCUUACCCCCGAAGAUGGAGUGGACCACGUCAGUGGGGCUGACAUAUUGGUGUCGAGGGUCCCUAUCUUGGUCGUCGUCCUUGUCUUUGGGGUCGUGCCCGUCUCGUUUUCCAUUUUUCUUGGCGGAGUCGUCUUGGGCGGCCCGCCGCGUAUAGAUAUUUUUGAGGACAUGACAUUCUUCCAUGGUAUGAUUAGACUUUGGAUGCAAUUGGCACGGUCCCUUCAACGUUUUGUUGUAGUCUUCUUGGUAGUCCCGCCGCCCGUUGGGACGGUUGACCGUAUUCACUUCGUGGUCGUGGUCGCGAGGGCGCUUUCCUCUGAAAUCAUCGCGAUUGUCGCGUCGCCUGUCCCAACCUUCUCUGUGAUCACGGUUGUCGGGGCGGCGGUGGUUCCUGUUGUCGAAACGACCGCGACCGUCAUCUUGACGGGGAGGCUGGUCGGGACCUCUCGCAUCGUCCCGGAUUAGUUUUUCUGCAUCGUCAGCAUCGGCGUAAUUUUUAGCCGUGGCAAGGAGUUCAGCCAUCGUUGUUGGCCUUUUGCGCAACAGCUUGUUCCUCAGUGUUUCAUGGAAGCGCAGGCCUUUAAUGAAGGCAGAGAUGGCCUCAUCGUGGGAAAUCUUCGGGAUCUUAAGGCGCAUAUCCGAGAAUCGUCGGAUGUAAUCGCGCAAAGGUUCAUUUUUUCUGUCCCUUAUCCUUUCGAGGUCGUACUUGUUUCCAGGCUGCUCGCAUGUAGCGAUGAAGUUGUCGAUGAAAGCCUGACGUAGCUCUUCCCAAGAGUCGAAGGAGUCCUCGGGCAGGCCAAGGAGCCAUUGAUGACCAGCCUGGUCGAGGACUACUGGGAAGUAGUUGGCCAUGACGUGUUCGUCCCCUGCGGCUGAUCGGACGGCGAUUUCAUAGAGAGUGAUCCAGUUCUCUGGGUUUUCCUUGCCGUCGUACUUUUUGAGUUUCUUGAGCUUGAAAUUGCGGGGCCACAUGACCUGGCGGAGGUGUGAGGAGAACUGUCUUAGGCCCGGGGGGCCGUGCGUUGCAUCAUACUCGAUACGGCGCAGGUUUCCGUGGACUGCUCUCUCCGUGGCGCGCCUGUUGAUGCGGUCCCGGGCAUCUUUGGGAGGGAUGUUGUAUCGAAGAUCCCUGUGCUGGUUUACUUCUUGGCCACGCCUGCGAUUCUGCUCGCGUUGACCGCCAGCAUCCCGACCGCCGUCAUUACGCCGUGAAUCUGUUCGAUGGUUGUCGGGGGAACGGCUGCGAUGGUGCCUGCUGGGCUGCGGUGAUGUCCGGCUACAGCGGGUCUGGUCGGAGGCGGCCUCUGUAUAGGAGACGGCCUGGACUCUUUUGAGCAGGGUGGCUGUCUGUCCCAUCGCGGCGAUCAGGUGUGCUCGGACACUAGUUCGGACCCCUUGGCACUCGGGAGUUUCAGGGAGCCGGUCUAGAUUAGCCAUAGCGACAGCCACAUUGGUGCUCGGCGUUUUGUAAACUUGCUGAUCUCCGACCAUGUCAAAAGCGUCGCUGAGAUUCUGCGGCGGGAUUUGACGUUCCUCGUCCGCGCGUCGUCGGGCGCGAUCGGCGUUACGCUGCUCGCGGAGCUGCCUCUGCUCGUCUGUUUCUCCGUCAACAACCGGCUCGUCGGCGCUGACGUUGAAAACGAUGUCUCCUCGCCGGGGUGGGAAGACCGGGAAACAUGGGAAACCCGAAGGGUGUGACGGGAAAUCCAAGUCGUAGUCCUCGUCCUCGGAAUUUAUGACUUCAGUGGGAACGGAACCAGUGCUCGAAUUUGUGCUGGAAGCCUGGCCGUCCCAAACUCUUGGAUCGUUACCAUGUUGACGUAAUGUCGAGCUGGUCGACCGCUCCCCUUUGGCAGCCAACCAGCUUUGUUAAAGAGGGAUCGGAUGUGUCUCGAGUAGAGAGAGGCCGAGUUGUUCAGACCGCGAGGGUAAUCUUCCUCCGGGUUGACCUUGAUCUUGACAGAUCAUCCUGAGGGAGUCGACGUUAUCGCGAGAGACGUUCCCAGCCGUUCGUGUGUAGCGACACGAGUUGGCCGGUGGGAUUUGAAAAAAUCCGUUGAGGCGGCUUGAUCAGGCUGGCGUAAGAUUCCAUCUACAAGCUGGGAAGCUUCAAGUAGCUUGGAAUCGGCGCGGUCAAGUGCCCGGAGAAGGUCUGAGCAGUCAAUCUUCUUUCCCUUGUAGAGCGGGGAUGGUGGUCGGGUGCUCGGAGCCAUCACCCGAGUGGUCGGAGCCGACGUGAUCCCAGAUUGGAUCUGGGUUCCUUCCGAAACCGUAGUCGUGAGACCACCACCGCGAGUCGUCCACGUGAUCUGGCCGACGGUGAACGUGAGGCCUUCAGGAACGGCCGCGGAAGCUGGGAUUGUGACCAUCUUGUUCGCCGGAGAAGUUGCACGCACACCCCCUACCUGGCGCACCACUGUCGACGAAAGCUGGUCGGCAGUCUACCUUGGGGUAUACCCACGGUAGUAGUUUAUCGGUAGACGGUGCGCAAACUACGAACUCGAUGGUGACGCAAGACACAGGCAAGCUUUUUAUCCAGGUUCGGCCGCCGAGUCGGCGUAAUACCUAUGUCCUGCGUCUGAUUGUAUUGUUUUGUGUUGAGAGAAUAAUGUGAACUAGGGGGGUCCCUUGCCCCUCCUUAUAUAGUCCGGAGGGCAGGGUUAUAGAUCUGGAAACUAAUCCUAGUCGGUUACAAUUGCCAUGGAUAGUUCGAUAUCAAUUCCUAUUCUAACCGACUAGAAUCCUGCUUGAUCUCCAUGUCUUGUUUCCUUGCGCGAAACUCCAGGCAGUCGGAUCAAGCCUUGAGCUGUCCUCGUGAUGGGCCAAGCCUCCUGGCCCAAGUCUAGCCGUAAGGGUAUAGGGGUUUAUACCCCCACAAUUGCCUUCUGAGAAAUUGCAUUGAGGAAUGCACAUAGCUUUACGGUGGCUAGACGUACGUGUGGAGGUAGAAUUCCUCUUAAAACGACCGGCAGCAAUUGCGUCAUUAGAACGUGACAGUCAUGGGACUUCAAGUUCAGGAAUUUAUUCUCUGGCACAUUAAUUAUUCCCUUGAUAUUGGAGGAGAAUCCAGAUGGGACCUUGAUGCUGCUAAGACAUUCAAACAUGCUUUCCUUCUCUUCUUUGCUCAGAGUGUAGCUAGCAGGGCUUAAGUAAUGACGUCCAUCAUCUGUCUUUUCUGGAUGCAGGUUGUCUCGUUCUUUCAUGCGCUGCAAGUCUUGUCAUGCUUCAAGUGAAUCCUUAGACUUCCCGUAGACACCCAUGAAUCCGAGCAAGUUCACACAAAGAUUCUUUGUCAGGUGCAUCACGUCGAUCGCGUUGCGGACCUCUAGGACAUUCCAGUAAGGUAGCUCCCAAAAUAUGGAUUUCUUCUUCCACAUGGGUACAUGUCCCUUAGCAUCCUUGGGAAUAGGUUCGCUGCCUCGUCCCUUUCCAAAUACCACUUUUAUAUCCUUGACCAUUUUGAGUACAUCAUCCCCGGUUCGAUUGAGAGGUUUGGUCCGGUGGUCUGCCUUGCCUUUAAAAUGCUUGCCUUUCUUUCGUACUGGGUGGUUCACAGGAAGAAACCGAUGGUGGCCAAGGUACACGACCUUUCGACAUUUUUUCAAAAAUACACAGUCAAGGUCUUCAUAACAAUGUGUGCAUGCAUUAUAUCCUUUGUUUGACUGGCCUGAAAGAUUACUCAGAGCUGGCCAAUCAUUGAUUGUUACAAAUAGCAAUGCUCGCAGGUCAAAGUGCUCUUGUUUGUACUCAUCCCACACGCGAACUCCUGGUUUGCUCCAUAAAAGUUGAAGUUCCUCAACUAAUGGCCUUAGGUAGACAUCUAUGUCAUUGCCAGGUUGCUUCGGUCCUUGGAUAAGCACCGGCAUCAUAAUAAACUUCCGCUUCAUGCAUAGCCAUGGAGGAAGGUUGUAGAUACAUAGAGUAACUGGCCAAGUGUUGUGACUACUGCUCUGCUAACUGAAAGGAUUCAUACCAUCUGUACUUAAGGCGAACCGCAAGUUUCUAGCAUCAUCUGCAAAAUCUGGGAAUUCUCUGUCUAUCGCUCUCCACUGGGAUCCAUCGGCAGGGUGUCUCAGCAUAUUGUCUAUCUUACGGUCUUCUUUAUGCCACCGCAACAACUUUGCAUUGUCCUUAUUUCUGAACAGACGUUUUAAUCGUGGUAUUAUAGGAGCAUACCACAUAACCUUGGCUGGAAUUUUCUUCCUAUGACGUUCUUCACCCUCAACAUCGCCAGGAUCAUCUCGUCUAAUCUUAUACCGUGAUGCCUUACAUACUGGACAUGCAUCCAAAUUCUCGUAUUCCUCCCCACGGUAGAGGAUGCAGUCAUUAGGACAUGCGUGUAUCUUCUAGAUUUCUAAUCCCAAAGGACAGACAACCUGUUUUGCUUCAUACGUAGUGGUGGGCAAUUCGUUGUCUUUCGGAAGCAUCUUUUUUAUGAUCUUCAAUAACUGCCCAAAUGCCUUGUCAGAUGUACCAUUCUUUGCCUUCCAUUGCAGCAAUUCUAGUGUGGGACCCAGCUUUUUUUGCCCCUCUUCAGCGGUGGGAUAUAGCGAUUUCCUAUGGUCCUCUAGCAUGCGCUCGAACUUGGCUUUCUCUUUAUCACUUUCACAUUCUCUUUGUGCAUCACGGAUGGCAUCACCAAAAGCAUCAUCGCCCCGAUCAUCUUCUGCCGCCACCUCUUCUUCAUUAUCUCCCCCCAUUGCAACAUCAUUGAAGCCACCGUACUGAGCAAUAAUAUUGGCAUGGUCCAAUUCUUCUUCUUCUUCUUCACCUUCAUCCAUUAUAAUCCCGCUUUCUCCAUGUUUGGUCCAACAAAUAUAGUUUGGUACGAAACCUGACUUUAAUAAGUGUGAAUGAAGAGUUCUUGAGUUAGAAUAUUCCGUCAAAUUCUUGCACACGGCACAUGGACAGCACAUGAAACCGUCCCUCUUAUUUGACUCGGCCACACUUAAGAAAUAGUGCACGCCAUUAAUGAACUCUUCGGAGCGCCGAUCGGCAUUAUACAUCUAAUUACGUGUUACCAUCUGCAUUAAAUAUAACAUAUAUAUUAUGAAAAAAAUGCACACAUAUAGUUUCUCAUCUUAUUGCACAACAUAUCUAAGAUACAUAGUUGAUUAAUUUAGGAAAGCUUGGGUACAACAAAUAUAAUUGCAACUAGCACUAAAAAAACCAAAACUAAAAUGCACUUAAGCAACAUAAUUAGUUUGCGUCCAAUCCCAACUAUAAUAGAUAGAUCAUUCGCUUGAUCAACAUCAUUGAACUCCUUUCAUCAGCUCACUGCCUCACCACCUUCAGCCUCAACCACUUGUGCAAAAGAUUUCUUAAUGUGUUCAAUGUAUUCUUCCUCCCAGUACCAACCUGUACAUCCGCCGGUACCGUCCCACUGAAAUUAAAAGAGAGAAUCAAAAGUUUAAUUAAUAACAUUUAAAAAAAUAUGCACAUAUAUAAGAAAAUGUCUGGAAAUAACUCACAUUACGAUCUGGACACUUGUAGAAUAUACGACCCUUGUUUACUCCCUCUUUCGACACUUUGUACUCCAUCAAAAUCUUCUGCCCACACUUGCCACAAGUAAUGAGAGGAAGUUCCGGACGGUAUCGCUUUUGAACCCGUUGAGAGACCGAAGACCCGGUCACGGUUGCCAUCUACUAUCCAUACUCAAUUUUUAAACAAUUAUAAAUUCCACAGUUACUAGUAAACAUGUAUGAUACAAUGGAUAUUAUAUGUAGUAAUAAAAAUAAAUCAAGUGAUAUUAACAAACCAAUUAAUUUGAACUAUCCUACUUUCUAAGAUCAUAAGAAUAUACUAUAAUUCAUUCUUGCAAACUACAUUAAUACUAAGUCAACCAUGAAAUAUGAUAUAUAUAUAUAUAUAUAUAUAUAUAUAUAUAUAUAUAUAUAUAUAUAUAUGGAUACUAAUUCAUGUGAAUGAUUCAAAAUAACAACGUGGAUUUGAGCUAAAAAUAAUGCGAACAUCACAAGCCAAAAACAACAUGAAAAGACAAGAAAGACAAAAGUUAGUCACCUCCAAGCACGAAGAGACGAUGACGGAGUCGAAGAAGAUCAACGAUGAGCGUUGGAGAUGAAGAACAAAUGAAGAACAAGCAAGAAGAAGCUCCAAGAACAACAAUGGUGCUCUCGGUUUCAAAUGGGCAGAGGGGAGGAGGGACCGGUCUAUAAACCGGAACUUUAGCACCGGUUCAGGGAAAAACCGGUUCUCCUCGGCCCGUGGCUCUGGCCGGUGCUAAAGGGUCUCUGCCUCGACAACACCUGUCAGUAGCCGUUGGGCAGGACCUUUAGCACCGGUUCGUGUUACGAACCGGUGUUAAAGGGGUCUUUAACCCCGGGCCGCAAAAAGGCCGAGGUUUUUGGCCAUUUUGGGCAUCGACCAAUGCCUCAUUCUGUAGUAGUGCCUGGACCCAGCCCACGGGUCACUUUUACUCUUCGUCGUCGUCAACCUCAACGACGGUCAUGCAAUAGGGCCCAAAGCAAGUCGGCUCCUGUGCUUCACCUGCAACAGGGGUUAUAGAACCCUGAGUACAUGAGUACUAAACAAGACUUACCCGGCAGAAAAGAGGAGAAACUUAGAAAUGCAUGCUUUAGGAUAGACAAGGAGUGGCUGAGGAAGGAAGCAAGUUGUUUUGCAUGAAAGCUUACUAAUAGUGGAUCCUUAGAAGGUAAAACAUCGGGAUCUGUAGGAAUGCGGUGAGUGCAAAGGGUAGGGUUAAUUCCUUUGAGAUCUUGGAGUGAAUAGCCAAAAGCUGACCUAUGCUUCUCUAAGAUACUGAUUAAGUAAAAUGUUUCUUCUAGGAAAGUUUAUCGCUUAUAAUCACGCAAGUGUUUGGGUUAAGGAAAACAUAAUGAAGACCAGAAGGUAAUGGCUUUAACUCAAUGGGAGGUUUAGGAGGUUCUUCAAAAGGAUCUAAAGGUUGUGAAGGUUGAUCAUUUUCUUCCUUUAUGAAAAAACUAGGCAUCAUAUUCUAGAUUGGGUUCUAUAAAAGAUUCUAAAGAUGCUACCUUGACCUCAUUCAUUGGGUCUGGCUCUAGAUAGCAUUCACUUUCAGUAUUUAAAGAACGAGAGAUGGAUAUCGGAAGAAAAAAAUUCUUUCCAAGACAAAUAUUUAAUUUCCCUAUUUGUCCUUCAUGAAUAAGCCUUUCAGUUGGUUGGCCUAUCAAUAGGUCGACCUCAAUGAUGUCAAAGAUAUAAAAACUGAAAAUCACCAAAGUUACAUUUACCACGAUAGGUAGGACAUAUAAAAUUCCUAAACUACGAAGAAUAUGUCUUGAAGGGCUUUUUAGCAAUUUUGUUGUUGGGGUUAAUGGCAUGCGUCCCAAUAAAUCAUGAGCAAAAGAUGCAGACAUGAUAUUAACACCCACAACUGGAUUGUAUAGGGCAUCGAAAGGGUCUUCAUGAAUUUGGCAGUAAAUGGAAGUAGAGGAUGAAUCUAAAUGAAUCACAUCAGAGGGGGACUCUGACUUCUAACUAUUCAUGGCUUAUCACAGAGACUAACUCUUUCAUAGCUUGUUGAUAGAAAACUUGAUCAGUCAUAUUUAAGGGUUUUAUAAAUUUAGGAUUCCGAGGCUUUUCUACCGUAUGAUAUUUUGAGGUAUCACCAAAUUUGGUAAAAUAUUCAUCCUCAAAAUUAAAAAUUUCUGCAACAAGAGUUUUCUCCUCAUCAGGUAUUGAGAUAGUUGAAUUUGAUGAAUUGGGCAGAAUUUCUGGUUCAACUAUCUAGGACUCUUUCUCUUCUAAGAACUCUAUAGGCUCAGCUUUAGGUGUGGAUUGAGCAAUUUUAAGUAACAGCUCUCUUGCCACGGGAUCAAAUGUGUGCAGAAAAGAUCCAUUAGAAGCUAGGUUAAGAAAAGAAGAAGUUUUCCCAUUUAGACCCAUAAAGAAAUGUUGAAGAAGCAUAGGGUUUGGGAUACUUAAAGAUGGACCUGAACGAACAAGAUUGUCAAAACAUUCACAGGCAACAACUAGGGUUUCAUUAUCUUUUUAGGUAAAAGAUAAGAUCUCUAAAGGCAGGUGAACGAUCUUGGGAAUAGAGAAGUCUACACAAAAGCUAGAACAUGGCUUCCCAACUCCCUUCCGUACUCAGUGUGGUUCUACUAUACCAAUCUUUAGCUUUUCCUACUAAGGAGGAAGGAAAAAGCUUCCAUCUAAGGGUUUCAUCAAACAUGCCUUUAAUAUAAAGACAUGCGCAGGUCUGUUCGAACUCGUUAAGGUGAGUAUAAGGAUUUUUGUCUUCCUUGCCUGAAAGCAUGGAUGUAGCUCAUAACCAUCAGAAAUGAUGGGCUUAGCUGACAUUGGUGGCUCUAAACCUAUGAUUUUGGGAAAAUGACAAAAUCUAAUAAGGGUGAAAUCUGUUGAGUCUUGGGGAGACUCUAAGAAAUCCAUGGAGAAAUAAAAGGAAAAUAUAAAAGGAAAAAUAAAAGUAUAAUACAAGAUUAAGCUAUACUCAAGAUCAGCUAGCAACUGUUCCCCAGCAAUGUCGCUAGAAAUGCUUGUUGGUAUUUAUUAUUGCACACUAAGAUCUAUGAUUAUCCGCAAGCACACAAAUAAGAUACCGAUGUAGCACUUCACCAGGAUUACCUAGCUUUAAUAUUGAACCCAAAGGAACAGAUGGAGGAAUCUUGAUCUUGGCUUAAUCCCUGAGCACAAUCAAGGAUGAAACUCUAGAAGGUUGAGGGAGAGAACUAGGGUGGUCUAAUUCAACUUUUAGGGUGUUUCUGUACUUAUUGAUCUGCUAGGAAAUUACUAUAGAAGGUCACAAACAUAGUAUGAAUCUACCAUGUAACAAAAGGCCUCCUACGAAUAUCAGCUAUAGACAGGAGGUGGACUAUAUAAGACUCAACAAAGCUGUCACCUAUGUGAUCUACCAUCGAUUCAGACUAUUGGGCGCAUCUAUGAGUACCCUGAGCCUAAGCACCACACUUACACUAUGAAUUAUAUUCUAACCUAGUGCAGUAGAUCAAAAUACUCAAAUGAAACUCAUAAACCAGAAGAACAAUAAGAACAAUAAACUUACUGACUAAUAGAAGUUGAUGAUCAAAAAAAUCUUUGAUCCAAGCUCCUGAAGAACUUAAAUCCAUAGGUACAUGCUGAAGAAAGAGCACCAAUAGGCCCGAGGCUUCCUCUAUAUCUUCUACCUCUCUCUCUCUCUCUCUCUCUCUCUCUCUCUCUCUCUCUUCUAGUUCUAAAUCUAAGACUAGAUCUAAACCUAACUAGAGGUGUACUAGUAUUUUUCUUGAUUGCUAGGCUCUGAGAGGUUCUAGGCACCCCUCUCUUGAUCUUGACUAGAGAUAAUGAAUUGAAGUCUUGAAGAUGCCUCGGGGGUCUGCCUCUACUUAUAUAGUCCGGUGGGAUAAACCAUAGCCCUUGGAUCAAACCAACUUAAAAUAAUGGUCAAGAUGCGUCGUAGAGGUUGGUUGGAAACUGUCUUGUGAAGCUGGAUGAUAGGUGGGUCCGGCCAGGCUCAGGGCCAGGUUGCAUUCUCCUUUGCUCUGGUGUCUUCUGGUGUUCUCUGGAACCUUCCCGUUAAUUCUUGUGGAAUUCCAGCGUGAUUUGGUUUGGUUCCUUGACUCCUACUCUUCCUCAGCUAUUUCUAAUUUAAUCCCUGGAAAAUCAUAAUUCACCAAAGCUAUAGAAUUACUUAGAUUAGUCUCUAAAACUAUUGCUUGGUGAUGGUUUCGGUGUCUUCUAGAGUGUUCCAAAGCGUAUCCAAUGAGGACUCUCUCAUCAGGACUUUAAUUAUAAUGAAUGAUAUAUCUGUUUUGAUUAUCACAAUGAGCUCUUUGCAAUGGUGUGCUCUAAUUCAUCACUUGAGAUGCUUUUAUGUAUAGAAUAUCUAAUAUCUGCAAAACAAGUGAGAAAACCAAAACUCAUGAAACUCAUUAGGUUUAAAUCAAAUCAAAGGGCACUUUGGUUCAUUUUAGUUGGUUCUUGGGCAUUAGUUGACGAUUUAUAAUUGGAGUUAAUUACUGUCAACACCAUCGACCUCAACUGUGUACUCUUCGUAGCCUAGCAUCAUCACGGCCCGAUGUCAUGGUUCUUCCAUGACUAUGCAAGAAUAGAUGAUGAACAUGUUAGUAUGGAGGAGGAGGAGGAAGAACAAGUUAGUCUAGAUCUAGGGUUAGGGAAGCAAGUUAGGGUUAGGGUUAGGGUUUUCUUACCUUCCCAGCCGGAGCACCAGAAAGGUCAGCGACAUUGAUGACCCUGGUUCUCAAUGGAGUCAAAUCCGAAUCACUAAAGAAGCCAGCAUGUUCUACUGAGGUCAACAAAGAAGACGAGGAGGAUGACAAUGCUACAUCAACGUUGCAAGAUCAAGAAGUGAGGUGCACUACGCCGUACCAUCUGCCAGUGCCAGCCAGUGGUGGUGAUCCAUCGGAAGGGGAGAAGAAGAGAGAUUGGAGACUGGAGUCGAGCGCAGUCGCAACAAAGAGGAGAGAGUGAGCCAGAGCCGCAGCGGGUGGGAGUGGGAAAUGAUUUAGGGUUUAGGGUUGGGAGGGGGACGCUGGGUGCUGUGGCUUACAUAGCCACAGAUGCAAUGGUCAAAAUAAAUGGUCAGAUGGAGCGGGGAUGGGAGAUCCAACGGGUAGGAGGUGAAGAGCUAUGUCGUAGCCGUAUCGGCCUGUUAAGGAGUGUCGUGCCUGGGCCGGCACUGUAGGCCGACUUCUAGGCCCAAGCAUGGCACUAUGUCGAGCCAGGCCAGGCACGGGCAUGAUGCUAGGUGGGCCGAGCCAUGCUUGGGUCGUGCUUUUUCAUUCAUGCUCGGGUCAGCCCAUCGUCUUCGGGCCAAAUGGAAAACUAUAGCCUAAGCCACAUCUAGCUUCUACUCAGUGACAGGCUGACGACGCCUAGGGAUCGGCCGUCCGCUUGGCCGCACCAGCUCGCCACGUGCUGCCGUUAGCGGCAGUUCACGCAAAACAUAGAAGGGGCAUGGAGGCUAUCCAUGGCCGGCUUCGGCUGCCCAGAAGGGGAUGGUGUCCCCUAACGCCCAAGCUGAAUGGGACAACGUUAAUGGAAUCCUAGCCAAGUACACUAACAUUCACUACCCCAACAAUACUUGGCUGCUUGUAGGAGAGUAAUGGUAGCUCUACUGCCUGCAACAUAUUCAACAACCAUGUUAAGGUACAUAGUCUUGUUCAACUACUAUGACAACCCAUUUGAUAUAUUGGUGUUACCAUUCACACGAGAUACAACAAAGGAGUCUCAGCCUAACCAUUCAUGCCAGAUAUGUUGUAGUUGUAGGCAAUAGAUGCCUGCCUUCUUUGAGCCUUUACAUGAGCAUGGUUGUGGCAAUGCAAUUCUCUUUGAAUCCAACAAAGUUGGAUGCAAGCGCCCAUGUGUUCUUUUUUUACACUCCCACCCCAAUGACAUCCACAUGUGAAAUGUUGAUAUUUCUCCUUUUAGUCAAGCAUUCUUAUGAUUGUGAAAGACCGAGAACUGUAUUUGUUGAUGAGAACUACCACACCAUAAGAUUAAUAUAUUGAUCUGAAGUAGACUAAAUGUUCAUAUGUAGUCAUACAAUCCAGAAUAUAUAAGGCCGUGAAGCUAUUUGGUGAUUCUGAAGUCUCCAUUACACAAUUUACUUUAGGCUUGAAAAAGUUAUGGUCAUGCUGGAGAUUCAUGGUUGUGUCCAUAUGCUAUGUACUCAGCAUGGAAGACUCUUAUCUGCACAAACACAGAGCAAGAUGGUAUUGUUAAUGGAUAGAAAAAUUUCCCAUGUGAAAGGUCCUAUUAUGGCUAGAGGGGGUGAAUAGCCUAUUAAAAAUUCUACAAACUCACUAGAGCAAGAGGUUAGUAAAUAACAAAGCGAAGCUUUUUGCUCUAGCACUAAAGGGGUGUUUGCAAUCCACCUACCCAACAAUUCUAGUUGCUAUGAUCACUAUGCACACAAGAACUAAGUCUCUACAAGUUACACUAGUGAACUAAGCUACACAAGACAAAGUAAGCAACUAAACUAAUUACACUAGUUUGCGGUAAAUAAAGGAUAUGAUGAUAUAUUUAUACCGCCGUGUAGGGGAUGAACCAAUCACCAAUAUAAAUAAUCAAGCACCAGGAGAAUUCCAAUCAAACACAAUUGAGACACCAAUUUUUCUCCCGAGGUUCACGUGCUUGCUAGCACGCUACGUCCCCGUUGUGUCAACCAACACUUGGUGGUUCGGCGGCUAAGAGGUGUAGCACGAACCUCGUCCUCACUAGGACACCGUAGGAACCUACCCACAAGUGAGGUAACUCAAUGACACGAGGACUUUACUAGAGUUACCUUUCGGCUCUCCGCCGGGGAAGGUACAAGACCCCUCACAAUCACCGGGAGAUAGCCACGAACAAUCACCAACUCGUGCCACGCCUCCUCCGCUGCUCCAAGCCAUCUAGGUGGCGGCAACCACCAAGAGUAACAAGAAAACCGCAGCUAGAACGAUCCCCAAGUGCCACUAGAUGCAAUCACUCAAGCAAAUGCACUUGGAAAUACUCCCAAUCUCACAAAGAUGAACAAUCUAUGAAGGAGAUGAGUGGGAGGUGUUUGUUUAGGCUCACAAGGAUGUCAAGUAUGCUAGAAUGCCAAGAGUAUUAGCCCUAAGCCAGCCAACACGUAUUUAUAGACCUCUCAAAAUGAAUAGAGCCAUUGGCUCUUUCACUGGGCGAAAAACGGGGUCACUGAACGCUCAGCGGGAGGCACCGGACGCUCAACACCUACAUCUGGUGCUCUAGAAACGGCCAUGUGUCGCCUUUUGAAUCUCAUGUGUCGGAGUCUAAUGGUAACCUGCAAAGCAUCGGACGCACUUAAGUUGCCACCGGACGCGUCCGGUGCGCACCGGUCUUAAACACAGAGAGGUCUGCAAACGCGUGAGGUCACUAGACGCACACCACCGGACGCUCCCUGAGCGUCCGGUGCUUCCAGUCAAACACACCGGCCGAAGUUAGAGAUCACCGGACGCAUGAACAGGAGCUACCCUGCAUCCGGUGCUUAACCCUAGCACAACAGCACACCGAACGCAUAGCCUCUGCGUCCGGUGCCUCAACGACCAGCGUCCGGUGAGUGUUUCUCAACGAGGAACACUCCCGCGACUUCUCCAAAUUUCCCACCAGCGCAAUAGAAAAUAUGCACUUCAUUUUCUCAAAAAGCGCCGAAUCCCACCUCUCAAAAAGCUUGGUGGGAUGGGAGAGAGGAACCCAUCCUCUCUCUACCCUUCAAACUCCACCUCCUUCUCAAAGUGUGCCAACACCACAAUGUGUAAACUACUAUGUGCACGUGUGUUAGCAUUUUCACAAUCAUUUUCUUUGAAGGAGUUAAGUUAGCUCACUAGGUUCUAAAUGCAUGCUCAUGAACAAUGACACCUAGUGGCACUUGAUAACCGCUUAGCCAAAGAAUUCCCCUCUUUAUAGUACGACUAUCUAUCCUAAAUGUGAUCACACCCUCUAUGGUGUCUUGAUCACCAAAAACGAAACCUAAGCAAUACCUUUGCCUUGAGCUCCACAGGGUUUUGUUUUUCUCUUUCUUCUUUUCCAAGUUGAGCACUUGAUCACCUUGUGGUCAUCACCAUCAUCGCCAUGAUCAUCACUUGCUCCAUCACUUGGCAUGUACCAACCUCAUUAAGUCUACACACACUUAGUAUAGAGGUUAGUACCAGGGUUUCAUCAAUUAUCCAAAACCAAACUAGGGCUUUCACCAUGUUGCUUUAUUUUGAAAGAUCUCAUGCUGCUUUAUGCAGUCGCAGAUGAAAACUAUGGUAACCCAUUUUUUUACAAUUUGGCCCUUUUUGAAGAAAGUUCUCUUUUGGACCCUUGGUUGACAAAAUCUCAGUUUUGGACCUAGGGGGACGAUGCCAUGCUUCACGGCGUCGAGGUUACACGUCUCGAUGCCAUGGAUCACAGUGUCGAGCUCCCUGGCCGAGCCCAACGUGGUGUCUCACGUGGUAGAGAGGUUGACGCCAUAGAUCACGACGUCGAGGUCGACGCUGUAUAUCACGGUGUGGCCACAAUUCACAUUCUCUUCUCCCCUCUCAGUUCUUCCUCUCAAAAAACCGACCACCAACAUUGGAUUCAAUAUUUCGACCAUCAAAAGUUUGAUUUGAUCCAUAGAUCUUGAAGAGGCAGGUAUACUCUUCCACCUCUUAGUUUUUGACACAUUGAUUUGACCUAUAUUACGUGUAUUUUGUAGACUUAGAUAAACCAUUACUAGGUUUUUGAAUGGAUGAUUAAUACUUAUAUUAUGCAAUCGUAGAAUGCCACGUCGUGGAAAACGUAGCAAACCAAGGUAACCUUUGCACAUGUUUCAAUAAUUUUAAUUCAUUAUUGUUUAUCAUUUGGUAAACUCUAGUUUUAGGUUCAAUCAUUAAUUGCUUUGAUUUAUUAGAAAUGAAAUGUUUGAACUGUAGCUAUGGCCGGACGACCGAAAGUCCGUACACCCCAAGCCGCUUCCUAGCUGUGUUCCAGUACCUAUGUGCUUUUGUGGUGAUCCUUGCAAGGUAGACAUUUCAGAAGACGAGGAAACCCAUCGAUAGAGGUAUUGGAUGUGUUCCAAUUUUGCUAGGGAGCCUACACCGAAACAACGCCGCAGUAACUUUAUUAUGAGAUAAUUUUUCUAUUGUGCACUUAGUGUUUUGUGUCCUAUGAAGCAUGAUUUAAUUUUUUUAACAAAUAUAUUUGUUGCAGACCCCUCCACCAUUGUGUGAUUUUGAGUAGUGGAUCGACACUGAGAUUAAGGAGUCCGACAAGCGGCUUCUACAAGGCCUAAAGGAGUGGGAUGCAGAGCGUGCAGAGAUAUUAGAGAAGAGACGCGGAGAGGAGGCUCAAAAGAGGGAGCACAAGGAAGAGGAGGAAAGAAGACGUGUUGCUGCGGACAGGGAGGAGAGGGAAAAGAAGCUUGAGCGUGUGCGCCGAGCGAAGGCAGCGAUGGAUGAGAAUCCAGAUGCCCAGAGGAAGGGAAAGUGGCCUCAUUGCACUCAGUAGUUACAUUACCUGUCGACGAAAGCUAGUCGGUAGUCUACCUUGGGGUAUACCCACGGUUGUAGUUUAUCGGCAGACAGGUGCGCAAGCUACGAACUUGAUGGUGACGCAAGACACAGACAAGGAUUUUAUCCAGGUUUGGCCGCCGUGUGGGCGUCUGAUUGUAUUGGAUUGUGUUGAAUUGAGAUGAGAUGGAUUGUCUAAGUGGGGUCCCUUGCCUCUCUUUAUAUAGUCCAAAGGGCAGGGUUAUAGAUCUGGAAACUAAUCCUAGUCGGUUACAAUUGCCAUAGAUAUCAUAAUAUUAAUUCCUAUUCUAACUGACUAGAAUCCUGCUUGUUCUCUACGUCUUGUUUCCUUGCGCGAGACUCCAGGCAGUUGGAUCAAGCCUCGAGUCUUCCUCGUGAUGGGCCAAGUCUCCUGGCCCAAUUCUAGCCAUAAGGGUAUAGGGGUUUAUACCCCCACAGCUAGUCCCCGAGCACCAUAUAUUGUGAUGCAACACGCCGUCUUGAGCUUUUUCGACUAGUGAGGCUUGACAUCUUCGAUUAGCAUGAAAGUCGCCCAAACAGUUGCAACGGUAUUUUAACCAACUUAAAAGACAGCUGAUCAACAUCAACAUCGAUGAAGCAGGUUGUUGAUGCAAAACUGAUCUGCAAACACAAAGGGCUAAUACCCGAUUCAAACGUUAAGGCGUGCCAGCCGAUUUGACCUUACUAUCGGCAAAGGUGAUAACUCGACCACUUUGGUCCCGACAACAGCGAUGCGCCCGGAUGUCACGGCCAAGAGGUGAUCACGUGGAACUCGAGAACACGCCGAGCUUAAGUCGACGAAUCCUUAAGAACUCGUAGUAAAAAGGGAAAAUAUGACAAAAUCGUCAAAAAAGUAGAUGCUGGAAUAUGAGUAAAAACUUGUGUUUGAUUGAUUGAUAGAUUUUUCAUUACAAGGCCCUAGGGUCUACAUUUAUACCCUGCUCAAAGAGCUACAAUCAGACACGACUAGGACUCGAAUUCCAAACUAAACAGAAUCCGUAUACAAAACGAAUUUAAAUAACUAAGGAAAACACAAAACUACUCCCUUGUAACCGACCAGGACACCGCCUCAGAUCAAUCGGCAAUCUCCACCCUUUCCUUCAGAGUCAUCAGCAAAACCUCCUGUCAUGGCCAUCGGCAAACAUCAAUACUGAUUAUCGGCAUGAUCACGUCACCAUCUUCUGGACUUAGUCACAUCCAAUUGCCUCUUCAUCGGCAACCACCUCCAUUGGCAACAUCCCUGCAGAUUAGUUAUCGUUGCUCUAUCUACCGAUCUGUACUUUGCUGACCUCCAGGUACGGGUCUAAAACCGGUGUCAACACAUGCCCCCCCAGUUUUGGAAUAUAAAAUCAUUAAUGCUCCGAAAUUCUCUAUAGCAAUGACGCCUUUCCGCAAUUAACUCUCCCGAUUUGGCAACCGACCGUUAAAGCCGAACAACCUUAGCCCGACUUUCCUGCAGAUUCCUCGAAUUCCUCAACCUCCCGAACCGGAUCUUUCCAGCUUAUGCGCUCAUCGGCAAUAUUACCGUUAGAGGGAACUGCCGAUGGACCGAUCAAGAGAUCCCGCACAGUGAAAUAUCUCCAAAAUCAUGACCGCCUGCUGUCAAAUCAUCUGCAUAAUCCCUUGAUUACCAUGUGAACAGUUACCAUAUCCACCUGAGCACCCUCGGAUUUCACGGAUGCGGCAAAGAGAUAAGUCAAAUUUGCCUCUGCCCGUUUUGUCUUAUAAAUACUCUCUUCUCGGGUACUCCUUCUCCAUCUUGUCAUUCUACAGCCCAAAAAAACCACUUUCUUGGCGGCGGCACCACCCGAGGACUCCAAGAACUUCAUCGAAGGCAUUCUUCACCAAUCUCCCAAGUCUUCGAUCUUCUUCUUUGCAAGAAAAUGGCCAUCAACUUCACCGUGCCUGAGGUUAGUUCACCACUUUUUCUCCUAUGCUUUCACUUCAUUCCUGUUCAUCCGCAGUUCAUCUUACUGAAUACUCUUUUUUUUUCUUUCGUUCUUCUUUUUAUCCCCAAAAAUUUCUAGGAUUUGGCCGAUAAGAUCGUUAUUCCUACCGAUCAACCCCACCUCCAAUGUCUUGGUCCGUUAGGAAAUCCAGAUCCUACCGAUCUUAUAAACGUAGAGACAAAUAGAAUCCCCUUCAGAACCGAGAAUUUUUCUCUAGAUCUAUGGAAAGAUGUCUUUCGUUCCUGGCCCAGUCCUACCAAGGGAUGGAAGGAUUGGUUCUUGAGAGUCAGUAACACGAAUGAGGUCCAAUGGGGCGAACGAAAAUUAGAUCAAUGCAUUAGAUUGUCUCUUGCCGAUAUGGAGAGAAAUGAGUCACUGCUGAUCGCUGCUUCAUACUUUUGGUCAGACACACUCAAUGCUUUUAUGUUUGGCCAUGGCCCUGCUUCUCCUACACUUGCCGAUGUACUUAUGCUCACUGGCUUAGAUAUAUCCACUGCCGAUAACACCCACCUGUUCGACACCAAACCUAGCGCUAAUGUGGAAACUCGUGCUAUCGGCGGUUGGUCAGGGUACAUUCACAAGUACCGAAGAACAGGUCCUGUUAAUGCAAAAGAACAGACCACUUUUCUGAACAUGUGGCUGGAUAAAUUUGUGUUCUGUGGUCGAUCGGUAGGACCAACUUCUGUCUACCUAUCGGCAGCAGAAAGAUUAGCUAAUGGCGGCCGAUUUCCCCUUGGCCGAUACUUGCUUGGCUUAGCUUAUCACCUCCUCCAUCAAGUAGCCAGGAAACUUCUGCUCAGCCAACCCAUCGGCAACUUAGGGGGUCCCAGGUGGUUCAGCAAUAUGUGGCUUAGUCUCCACAUGCACAAGCGUCUUGAGCUCGACCUCUUCGCACAGCGCUUCCCGAGGGAUAUAGCCGAGGAUUAUGAACUGGAUGAAGAAGAAUCGGCAACUCGUUCCCCUCUGAACUUUGACUAAGCUGCCAUAGUUUUGCCUGGCACAGGUGGUAACGCAGACCAGGUUAGCCGAUUCUUUCAGACUUUGUAUGAGGGUCUGACCAGAGAACAGCGAGCAUGGAUGCCUUAUGAAGAUCCAGACACCAGAUUUCCUUUGAUUUUCCACCCCUUCAAUGAUGCUCUCAACAAGGACCGUGAUGUGAUGAUGGCAAUUAUCACCCCAAGAGCCAUACCAGUGAACUUCUUUGGUAGUGGAAAAGCCUCCAAUCUGUCCUAUGAGUUUUAUAACCCAUCGGCACUAGCUCGUCAACUGGCUUUCGGCUAACUGCCAAUUGCACUCUGCUACGCCGAUGUGACAAAGCCGAGGGAGAUCAUUACCAACAAUCUAGAAUGGAAUGGAUCAGGGUAGCCCAACUUUCACCGAACGCCGAUACAGAUGUCGAUCUAUCGGCUUGGAUCCUAGCUCUAUUCAUCACUCAGGCAUACAAACAGUGGUGGGAAGAAUGGAAAGAACACUUGUUCUGCAGAUCGGCUCUCACAUACCGUGGCAUGAUCGAUCCUCAGUACAAAGUUCCCGAUAAUACUGUAAGUAUUUCAAUACCGAUGCUUCAAUCCCCUCACUUUUAUUUUCCAUCGGUAACUUACUUUCUUUGUUAUAUACAAGCCGAUGUCACACCACCACUAGUCAGUAGGAGUGGUAGGCCGAUUGAGCUCCUUCCAUCAGGCCCGAUCUCGCUGAUCGGCAACAAUGCUCCAACUUUGGCUACCAUAAUGCAUCGGGGUGUGCGCCUUAAAAAGGUCACGACCAAGCGGACAAAGACAUCUCCAUUGGUAGCUGCCACUGCCUUAGCACAAGCAUUCAAGGUAAAUUUUUCAUACCGAUUCCAUUCUUUACGCCUACUACAUUUGUACUCAUAAACCUCUCAUUGUUGUAUCAGCACACCGGUACAUCGGCAAAGACUAGAAGUACAACCGCUGAUGCCCCCCAAUCCAGUCAACCGAAGAGAAAAGGUCCCAAGAGUACCAGAUCACAAGCGAAGCGCCAGAGAACAGCAACACCUCCCCCUCCUCCAAGGUCACCGAUCCCGGUGGAAUCGUCUCCCUCUUCUCCAGAAGUCCAGACACAGCAAGCACCAUCUCCUCCUCAGCCACAGGAAGAACCCCAAACAGAAGAACCCCAGCCAGAAGAACCUCAGCCAGAAGAACCUCAGCCAGAGGAAAUAUCGGCUGAUGUACACGAGCAGACCGCCGAUCCAACAAGCUUAAUCAUAGCAUCGGUAGUCUCUUCUAUUCAGACCAGUACUGCACCCCCUCAAGGUAACAUGCUUUCUAUUUACUGCCGAUGAACCCACCUUUACAUUCUAUAACUUCCUCUGUUAAUCCUUCAGCUGACAUAGUUUCAUCGGCAAUUCCAGCCAAUCAGCCUGUGGUUCCAUCGGCCUCAUCUAGUCAGAGGCAAGAAAUAGCUCUGAAAUAAGUAAGUUACCCGAUCUCCACUUUUAUUGCUAUCAGUACUUGAUCAUAGAAUAACUCAUUUUGUCUUCUUUUUCAGGAACAGGAUUCUCCCAACAGCCUGUUCUCCUUCGCCAUCAAGAUUUCUGAGAAUGAAGGCGAGGAAGCAAGUUCUUCUCGAGCAGUUGGAAUCUCAUCGGCAGAGAUUAGAGCAAAGCUGGCGGAUCUGUCAGCCCUUCUCCAUCAAGAUACAGUGCAAUUGGUCGAUGACUCUGAUCCAGCCAAAGUUCUGUUCAAGGCUCUCAGAGGUCAAAUCCCUGCCGAUGCCGAGGAGGUCCUUUUUCAAGCUGCACACUUAGAGAGUCGUCAGCUGCAGUAUCAAAAGGCUGUUCAGCGUCUUGCCGAUAGAGCAGCUCAUGCUCAGCUCUCAGAGGAAAUGAUGGAAGUGAAGCUCCUUGCCGAUGAGAAGCAUAAGAGCAUCGGCAUUCUGAAAUCCUCAGGAGACGCACUGAAGCAAAAGAUCUCUGACCUAUCAGCGAGAAGGGAAGCUCUGUUGGCUGAACUCAGACAAAUUGAAGAAGCUCUGUCCCAAGCUCAACAGGAAGAAAGCCAGCUGCCUAAAGCAAUCAAGACUCUUGAACAAGAGCGAAACAUCCAGGCCCGUAAAGCACUGCAGAUGAAGAAGAAAUUGAAGCCAGUGGAAGGCUCUGCUGAUGAUGACAUGAGGGAAAUAGAAGAAGCCAAUCAGAUCCGUCUGCGCACCAUAUCGACGAUCCAGGCUCUGUUAAACAUGUAAACUCUUCAUCGGCGGUGUGCUUUGCUUCUUUCUUAUAAUCAUUUUGGUCCAGCCGAUAGGACUGUUAUCGGCAUCCUUUUAAAACAUUAAGUCCGGCCCCAGAUACACUUUUAAUUCAGCCGAUAGGAAUGUUAUCGGCACUUAAAUUUUCAUGCAUCAAGCCAUAUGCUGGGGUAAUAUCUCUUUAAAUAUUUGCCGUUCAAUGCUUUGGGAAAUUCAACUCCUUUGAGAGUUUCUAAGAUAUAGGCGUUGCCAGGAGCAGAUCAAUUUAUCCGAUAGGGACCUUCCCAAUUGGGAGACCACUUCCCAAACUUUGAACUUUUAGUCCCAAUCGGUAAGAUUAGUUUCCAUACUAACUCUCCAUCGUCAAACUCCUUAGCCUUUACCUUCUUAUCAUACCAUCUGGCAACUCUCUUCUUAUUUUCUUCUAUACUUAUCAAAGCCCUUAGCCGAUGCCCUGCUAGAUCAUCCAACUCGUCUAUCAUCAAAGUAGUAUAAUCAUCGGCAGCCAAUUGAUCUUGAAAAGAUAGUCGCCUAGACCCAGUUUUAAUUUCCCAAGGCAGCACUGCAUCAUGUCCAUACACCAACUGAUAAGGUGAAACAUUGGUCGACCCAUGACAAGCCAUCCGAUAUGACCAUAAAGCUUCAUUCAACAAUGUAUGCCACCUCCUAGGAUUUUCUUCAAUCUUUCGUUUAAUAAGUUUAAUAAUUCCUUUGUUAGAUGCUUUGGCCUGUCCAUUAGCUUGAGCAUAAUAAGGAGAAGAAUUCAACACCUUAAUUCCCAUACCGAUUGCAAACUCAUCAAACUCCCGUGACGUAAACAUAGUACCCUGAUCGGUAGUAAUUGUUUGAGGAAUACGAAAUCGGUAAAUAAUAUGCUCUUUCACAAAAUCAAUCAUGUUGGCCGAUGUGACCUUCUUCAAAGGAAUAGCUUCAACCCACUCUGGUGAAAUAAUUGGUGGCAACCAAGAUAAACUUAUGUCCUUAGCUAGAUGGUGGAUAAAUUUGGCCGAUUAAGUCAAUAGCCCAUCCCCGGAACGGCCAGGGUUUGAUAAUCGGAUUCAUGGCCGAUGCGGGUGCUCUUUGAACAUUGCCAAAUUUCUGACAUCCUUGACACCCUUUGAAAUAUUUAAAAUAAUCCUCAAGUAUAGUCGGCCAAUAAUACCCAUUUCUCCUGAUCAUCCACUUCAUCUUAAAUGCCGAUUGAUGUGCUCCACACACUCCUUCAUGGAUCUCUCCCAUUAAACUCUUAGCUUCAUCAUCACCUAAGCAUUUGAGAAGAACCCCAUCGAUUGUCCGAUAAUAUAGCUCAUCUUCGAGGAGCACAUACUUGGUAGCCUGAAAUCGAACACGUCUCUCAACUCUCUUGGAUGGAUCCUUUAAAUAAUCAACGAUUUCUUUUCUCCAAUCAUCGGCACCGAUUGCCGAUAACAUGUUAACCAUAGGCUGAUACCCUGAAGCAUGUGAAAGCCCUAGUUUGGUUUUGGAUAAUUAAUGAAACCCUAGUACUAACCUCUAUGCUAAGUAUGUGUAGACUUAAUGAGGUUGGUCCAUGCCAAGUGAUGGAGCAAGUGAUGAUCAUGGUGAUGAUGGUGAUGACCACAAGAUGAUCAAGUGCUCAACUUGGAAAAGAAGAAAGAGAAAAACAAAACCCUAUGGAGUUCAAGGCAAAGGUAUUGCUUAGGGUUUUGGUUUUGGUGAUCAAGACAUCAUAGAGGGUGUGAUCACAUUUAGGAUAGAUAGCCGUACUAUAAAGAGGGGAAUGCUUUGGCUAAGCGGUUAUCAAGUGCCACUAGGUGUCAUUGUUCAUGUGCUUGCAUUUAGAACCUAGUGAGCUAACUUAACUCCUUCAAAGAAAAUGAUUGUGAAAAUGCUAACACACGUGCACAUGUUGGUUUACACGUUGUGGUGUUGGCACACUUUGAGAAGGAGGUGGAGUUUGAAGGUUAGAGAGAGGAUGGGUUCCUCUCUCCCAUCCCACCAAGCUUUUUGAGAGGUGGGAUUCGGCGCUUUUUGAGAAAAUGAAGUGCAUACUUUCUAUUGCGCCGGUGGGAAAAUUGGAGAAGUCGCGGGAGUGUUUCUCGCUGAGGAACACUCACCGGACGCUGGCUCAGAGGCACCGGACGCUGUGUCUGAGCGUCCGGUGUGCAGGCUGCCUGACUCGGUUAGGGUUAGACACCGGACGAUAGACAUCGGACGCAGCUUGGAGCGUCCGGUGGUGUGCGUCCGGUGUGAGGAUGUUUUGCAAACCUCUCUGCGCAUGAGUCCGGUGAGCACCGGACGCUCAGGGUGCGUCCGGUGGCUUGCGUCCGGUGACCCUGCGAGUUUGCGGAGCUCUCUGCGCAUGAGUCCGGUGUGCACCGGACCGUCCGGUGCUCACUUGCUCAGCGUCCGGUGCACUGCAGGUGACCGUUAGAUUCUGACACGAGCGUGACACGUGGCUGAUGUUGGAGCACCGGACGCUGGUGUUGAGCGUCCGGUGCCCCUUUAAGAGCGUCCGGUGACCCCGUAUUUCACCCAGUAAAAGAGCCAACGGCUCUAUUUGUUUGAGGGGCUAUAAAUACGUGUUUGGCUGGCUUGGGGCACACUCUCUUGGCAUUCUAGCAUACAUAACAUCCUUGUGAGCCUAAGCAAACACCUCCCACUCAUCUCCUUCAUAGAUUAAACAUCUUUGUGAGAUUGGGAGUGAUUCCAAGUGCAUUUGCUUGAGUGAUUGCAUCUAGUGGCACUUGGGGAUCGAUUUGGCUGCGGUUUUCUUGUUACUCUUGGUGGUUGCCGCCACCUAGACGGCUUGGAGCAGCGGAGGAGGAUUGGCACGAGUUGGUGAUUGUUCGUGGCCAUCUCCCGGUGAUUGUGAGGGGUCUUGUACCUUCCCCGGCGGAGAGCCGAAAGGUAACUCUAGUGGAUUGCUCGUGUCAUUGAGUUACCUCACUUGUGGGUAGGUUCUUGUGGUGUCCUAGUAAGGACGAGGUUCGUGCUACACCUCUUAGCCACCGAACCACCAAGUGUUGGUCGACACAACGGGGACGUAGCGUGCCGGCAAGCACGUGAACCUCGGGAGAAAAAUUGUGUGUCUUCAUUGUGAUUGUUCAUUGGAUUUCUCCCGGUGAUUGGACUUCAUAUUAUUGAUUGGUUCAUCCCCUCCUACGCGGCGGUAUAAAGUUCAAACCAUCUCUUUUACAUUCCCGCAAACUAGAGUAGCUUACUUACUUGUAUAGAAACUUUAGGUAGCUUUCUAGUGUAAGUAGUAACAUAGCUCUUGUGUGCCUAGUGAUUAUAUCAAAUAGAAUUGUUGGAUAGGUGGCUUGCAAACACCCCAUUAGAGCUAGAGCAAAAAGCUUCGCUUUGUUAUUUACUAACCUCUUGCUCUAGUGGGUUUGUAGAAUUUUUUAAAUAGGCUAUUCACCCCCCCCCCUCUAGCCAUAUUAGGACCUUUCAGCAUGCUGAGCCAACCAAUUAGCCUCUUCAUUGUGCAAUCGAGAAACAUGCUCUAAUCGGAAAUCUUUGAAUUCCUUUAACAGUUGCAUACUCUUUUCGUAAUAAGUUAUUAAAACUUCACUUCGGCAUUCAUAACUUCCAGUUAAUUGAUUGAUAACCAGCAUAGAAUCCCCGAAGAUCUCGAUAGCAUCAGCACGAACUUCUUUUAACAACUCCAACCCCUUGAUUAGAGCUUGAUACUCAGCUUGAUUAUUUGUUGACGUGGCAACAAUCGGCAAAGAAAACUCAUACUUUCUUCCCUGAGGGGAAAUUAGCACUAUGCCGAUUCCUGCCCCCCGGUCACAAGUGGAUCCAUCAAAGAAGAGCGUCCAAGGUACAAUUUCCAAAGCUUCCACUGCACCGCAAUGUUGAGUCACGAGAUCGGCCAUAAUCUGUCCUUUAACUGCUUUAGCCGAUUCAUAACGCAGAUCAAAUUCUGACAGUGCCAAAAUCCACUUACCGAUCCUACCACUCAUAAUCGGCAUAGAUAGCAUAUAUCGGACCACGUCAUCUUUGCAUAUGACAGUGUAUUCAGCCGACAACAAAUAAUGCCUCAACUUAAUACAUGAGAAAUAUAGGCAUAAACGCAACUUUUCGAUGGCCGAAUACCUAGUCUCAGCAUCAACCAAUCUUCUGCUUAAAUAGUAAAUCACACGCUCCUUCCCUCUGAAUUCUUGAAUCAAAGCUAAACCGAUAACCAUCCCAUCGGUAGAUAAAUAUAAUCUGAAGGGCUUUCCUUGCUGAGGUGGAAUCAGAACUGGAGGAUUUAUUAAAUAAUUCUUGAUUUCAUCUAAAGCCAACUGCUGCUCUUUCCCCCAUAUGAAUUCUUGAUCGGCUUUCAAUUUAAGCAGAGGACUGAAAGCACGAAUUUUACCAGACAAAUUAGAUAUAAACCUCCUGAUAAAAUUUACCUUUACGAUCAAGGACUGGAGCUCUGUUUUGUUGGUAGGAGCAAUUAUUUUUUUGAUAGCAUCAAUGGAUCUCCUACUAAUUUCAAUCCCCCUUUGAUGCACCAUGAAACCGAGGAAUUGUCCUACCGAUACACCAAAUGCACACUUAUUGGGAUUCAUCUUUAAACCAUGCUUCCUUGUGCAUUCCAACACUUUUUGUAAAUCGGCAAGAUGCUUUGUGAAAUCCCUAGACUUAACCACCACAUCAUCAAUAUAAAUUUCCACCAGCUUGCCGAUGAACUCAUGAAAAAUAAAAUUCAUAGCCCUUUGAUAAGUAGCACCAGCAUUUUUCAAGCCAAAGGUCAUGACUAUCCAUUCAAACAACCCAACAUGACCAGGACAUCUAAAUGCAGUCUUUGGAAUAUAUUCUUCAGCUAUGAAUAUCUGAUUGUACCCUGCAUUGCCAUCCAUAAAGCUGAUGAUCCGAUGCCCAACCGCAGCAUCAACUAGCAGAUCGGCAACUGGCAUUGGGUAGCCAUCCAUCGGUGUAGCUUUAUUGAGAUUCCUGAAAUCAAUGCAAACCCAAAGCUUCCCAUUUUUCUUGUAGACUGGAACAACAUUGGAAAUCCACUUGGCAUACCGACACUGCCGAAUAAAUUUAGCUUCAAUAAGUUUGGUUAUUUCGGCCUUAAUAUCAGGAAGAAUAUUAGGAUUACAUCGGCGAGCUGGCUGUUGAUGUGGCCGAAAUCCAGACUUGAUGGGUAGCCGAUGUUCAACAAUUGAUCCGUCUAAACCAGGCAUCUCAGUAUAAUCCCAAGCAAAGCAAUCUUUAUAUUCCUUUAACAAAUCGGUUAACUGCUGCUUACACUUAGAAUUUAACUUAGCACUAAUAAAAGUAGGUCUAGGCUUAUCACCACUACCUAUAUCUACCUCUACUAAAUCAUCGGCCGAUGUGAACCCUUGGCCUAACUUUCUAUCAUCGGCGAACCUAUCCAUUAAAACUCCUCAUCAGAACCAACUGCUUGGAUCGGUGGAAUCUCAUAAUCGGCAACUUUGAGGAAAUCCUUCUCCCAAAUUUCUCCUGAGAUACACCUAGUCCUUUCGUAGGUGUCUGCUUCUGCCGAUGCAAUGACAUAAGAAGAAUCCCCCGGGACAAUUUCAAUUUUGUCACCUACCCACUGAACCAAGCAUUGGUGCAUUGUAGAUGGGAUGCAACAAUUGGCGUGAAUCCAAUCUCUCCCCAGCAGCAAGUGAUAAGCACCUUUUCCACUGAUCACAAAGAAGGUUGUCGGCAAGGUUUUGCUGCCGAUGGUCAAUUCGACACAGACUGCCCCCUUAACCGGAGACACAUUCCCUUCAAAGUCCUUUAGCAUCAUAUCGGUCUUGGUCAAAUCUUGAUCUCCUUUCCCAAGUUUUCGAUAGACUGCAUAUGGCAUGAUAUUAAUAGCAGCCCCUCCAUCAACUAAUAUCUUGGUCAUCGGCUGCCCAUCAACUCUUCCUUUGACAAAUAGGGCUUUAAGAUGCUACCUUUCAUUGUCGGCAGGCUUUUCAAAGCGGUCAUCGGAUCCAGAGCCAACGGAGCUAUCUGGUCGGAAAACUCCAACUCCUCAUCAUCACUUGAUGGCGCCAGGAAUUCCAUCGGCAACAUGAAUACCAUGUUAACAUCUGCCGAUGGCCCUCUCCCCUUAGGAUCUGGCUGUUGCUGAUCCCCAGACUGGCCAGAGUUCUCACCCUUGCUUAGCUCCUCUCGUCUUUCGCGUUGCAGCCUUCUUUUCUGAGUCUUAGUCAACCCCUCUGGACACCAUGGGGGAAGAGGUGACUGCCUUGCCGAUGGACGACGAUGUUCCCUUGACUCCAUCUGAUGAGUAUUAGCGUCCCUGCAAAAUAUGAACACAUCGGGAACUCGUGCAUUGGCCAUCUCUUCAAGCUCUUCCUGAUUCCUGGAAAAAUAUCGAACACGAUCACCAAGCCUAUCGUGUACACUGAGUCUACCCCCCAGCCGAUCAUGAACUGACGCUCUCCCCCUAAUCGGCCCAUUAAAUCGCCGAUCAUCAUCCUGAUAUUGCCGAUUAGGUCUGUCAUACCGAUCAUAACCAUUGCACUCAGGGCAAUCCCUAACAGUAGGCAGUUUGAUGUUCUGUUCCCAGCAAUGGAUGAAGAACGGGCAGUUCCAGUCAUCCUUGUGCCAGUUCCACUCUUGUCGGUGUCAAGUUGAUACCAGUCUUCUUUCUGGCGUCGAUACCGAUCUUCACGUUGCUGCCAAGUUUCCCGAGGCCUCCUAUGAGUUAUCACAAUACCAGAUCGGGGAGGCCUUCCUGAGCUAUUUCCUUCUUGGAUCAAACCUUUUCCUUUGGCGUCGGCAGCAGUGAUUUGAUGCUAAGGAGCUACCGAUGCACUCUUUUCAGCUGCUUCCGACGUCAAGACCUUGGUCUUUCCCUUAGCAUCUAACAUAUUUGUUAGGAAAGGAUGUUGAUCGAUCUUCAUCGGCUUCUGAGCUUUAGAACUAUCAAAUUUUAUUCUCCCAGAUUCUAUAGCCGAUUGCAGCUGUUGCCUGAAAACUUUGCACUCAUUGGUGCUGUGAGAAGUCGCAUUGUGCCACUUGCAAUAUUUCAUCCUCUUCAAUUCCUCAGCCGAUGGAAUCACAUGAUUGAGUGACAACUUGAUCUGACCUUUCUGAAGUAGAAAGUCGAAUAUCCUAUCGGCUUUGGUGAUAUCAAAUGCGAAUUUUUUUGGCUCUUUAUGCCCAAAAGGGCAAGACAUCGGCUUCUUAUUUUUCACCCAUUCUGCCAAGCCGAUGACUGGCACCUCAUCAGAAUCUGAGCUUGUUGCUUCAUCAACAAAUGACACCUUUUUGUUCCAUGCUCUCUUGGGCUCAAAAGGUCUGAUAUCCUGAUCAGAAAUUCUCUGCACCAAGUGACUUAAGCUUUCGAACUCUUGAGAGGCAUACUUGUCCCUAACGUGUGGCAACAAACCUUGGAAAGCCAAAUCGGCUAGCUGCCGAUCGUCCAAAACCAGACUAUAGCAUUUGUUCUUGACUUCCCGCAAUCUCUGCACAAAACUUUCAACCGAUUCAUCAUUGCGUUGCUUCAAUUUGACCAAAUCGGUGAUCUUCUUCUCAUGGACUCCAGAAAAGAAGUAUUUAUGGAAUUGCUUCUCUAGAUCGGCCCAAGUAAUCACUGAGUUAGGAGGAAAUGAGAUAAACCAGGUGAAAGCCGAUCCAGACAACGAUGACGAGAACAAGCGAACCCUCAAUUCGUCUCUGUUAGCAGCCUCACCAUAUUGGAUGAUGAACCUGUUAACAUGCUCCAUAGUUGAUGUAUCAUCCUGUCUAGAAAAUUUAGUAAAAUCGGGUACCUUGUACCGAUUUGGAAGUGGGAUUAAAUCAUAUGCAGGAGGAUACGGUGUCCGAUAAGAGUAAGUAUUGACUUUGGGUUUUAUCCCAAACUGGUCUCUCAUUACUUUAGCUAUCUUAUCGGCCCAAUAAGCAUCGGCAUCUUGCCGAUGUGGUGGUUGUGGAUCUGGCACCUGCUGAUAUACUUCCACGUGUCUCUGAGGUGCACGAUCUGCAUGGAGCAUGGGGUUGAUCAUCUGACCACCAACUUGUUGCCCAAGAUUUAUCGGCUGGUUAACCAACCCUUGAUUCUGAAACCCAGGUUGAACUUGUCCGUGUUGGAACCCUACAGCCUGAUGGUUCUGCUGAGGCAUCUGUGGAAAGACUGGCUGCCCUGUCCAUCCACUGUUGGCAUUCAUCGGCAUAAACCCUGCCGAUGACUGGAAACUGGGUAUCAUCAUUGAAUUGACAUACCCUGGCUGAGUCAUAAACCCUUGUUGCGUCGGCAUUGAAUCUGCCGAUGCGUUAGGCAUCUGGAACGUUGGAGCUUGAGAAUUCCCAGUGUAAGGUCUUGCAGUAGUAGUCAUAGCAUACUGGGGACUCUGAUUCAUCGGCAAAUUUGGAGGUGCCGAUGCCAUAGGAGUCUUGCCUCUCAUAUCAGUCAUUUGAGAUGUGCCAGGUGUCUUCAACAUCAUCUCUGGGGGCAUGCCAUAACCCCACCAGUUAUUAGGAACAGAUCCCGACAUUGCCGACGCCAACAGAUCUGUGGCAAGCUUGAUUGACUCAUCUGAUGUUGACGGGUUGGUCGGCAUUGGUGUGGAUUGUGUAUUAGUGACUCCUAACGUACUUGGAGGAACGAUAGUUUCUGUGCCCGCAGCGGCCGUAGCAGCCGAUGGAACUAUAACGACUGGUGAUCCUGGCUGAUGAUAGACAGGGCCCACAUAAUUUGGUGGCAAUUGUCCUUCUUUAAAAGAACGACAUUGAAAACCGUAUUGGACAGCACACUAGCUUGAUUGAUCAAGGCACGAUUAAUAGCACUAUCAACCAUGUCUUGAAGUUUACCAGGAUUGGCUUCAAAAGUAACCUGCCGAGGUGCCGGUAGCGCUUCCUUUUAGAUCACCUCACCACUCCUGUUGAUACUGAAGGAUUUCAAACAUUGCUGCUUGUAGUCCUCCAUAGCUUUUGCAAUAGCUUGCUUCUGCUCAUCUCUGAGAUUGGCUUCCGUCACCGGGAUAACGUUCUCCAGAUCGAACUCGGUAGUCGACAUGUUGAUCUUGAUCUUGAAUAAGGUCCCACCAGGCAUGCCAAAAGAUGUGUUGAUGCAAAUCUGAUCUGCAAACACAAAGGGCUAAUACCCGAUUCAAACGUUAAGGCGUGCCAGCCGAUUUGACCUUACUAUUGUCAAAGGUGAUAACUCGACCACUUUGGUCCCGACAACAGCGAUGCGCCCGGAUGUCACGGCCAAGAGGUGACCACGCGAAACUCGAGAACACGCCGAGCUUAAGUCGACAAAUCCUUAAGAACUCGUAGUAAAAAGGGAAAAUAUGACGAAGUCGUCGAAAAAGUAGAUGCUGGAAUAUGAGUAAAAACUUGUGUUUGAUUGAUUGAUAGAUUUUUCAUUACAAGGCCCUAGGGUCUACAUUUAUACCCUGCUCAAAGAGCUACAAUCAGACAUGACUCGGACUCGAAUUCCAAACUAAACAGAAUCUGUAUACAAAACGAAUUUAAAUAACUAAGGAAAACACAAAACUACUCCCUUGUAACCGACCAGGACACCGCCUCAGAUCAAUCGGCAAUCUCCACCCUUUCCUUCAGAGUCAUCGGCAAAACCUCCUGUCAUGGCCAUCGACAAACAUCAAUACUGAUUAUCGGCAUGAUCACAUCACCAUCUUCUGGACUUAGUCACAUCCAAUUGCCUCUUCAUCGGCAACCACCUCCAUCGGCAACAUCCCUGCAGAUUAGUUACCGUUGCUCUAUCUACCGAUCUGUACUUUGCUGACCUCCAGGUACGGGUCUAAAAACGGUGUCAACAUAGGUUGUUCGAAGAAUGCAUGGUGCUCUUAAUCAAAAAAGAUUUCUUUCCUGAUGAAGUGUGCCCACUUUACUUUUUCUGAAAAGUAUAGUCUUCACUACAAGAUUUUCGGUCAAAUGCAAUGCCGAAAAAGUGUAGCAAAAGACCCAAAAAAUGGUAGCAAUUGUACUUUUGAUACCAUUGUUUUUUGGUUAAAUGUCGUUGCACUUGUAAGGGCAGCAAGAGCAGAAUGCAACGGGUUACGUUUUAUUUGCGACACACAGCCCCUAUAUUGCAACACUUUUGACGCUUUUGCAACACAUGGUGAGUGUUGUAACACAAGCAAUUGCAACCACUAUGGGUGUGGUAAUAGUAUCAAUUGCAACGAACUAGGCAUUGCUAGCGAUACGUAUUGCGACACGCUGGUCGUGUAGCAACACAAUGCAAUCGCAACGCAACACAAGUGUUGCAAUCGUGGUUAUUGCUACGCGGAGAAAGCAUUGCAGUAGAGGUUCUCAAUUGCCAUGUCGCCUAAAUGGUUGCUAUAGGUGGCUUAGGUUAUUGCAACAUCUAUUUAGGUUGGUUGCUAUAGAGAGGUCCUCUAUUGCUACGUUUCUGAAUGGUUACUAUAGAUGGCAUGGGCUAUUGCCACGUUACUUAGGUUGGUUGCUACAGAUAGGUCAUCUAUUGCCACGUACUAACUGGUUGGUUGCUAUAGGUAGAUUCCUCUAUUGCCACCGUCAUCUUUUUGUAGUGGCAAGAGAUAGGUUCUCUAUUGCCACGAUUAUCCACGACUAAAUGUGGUUGUUAUAUGUGCCAUCAUUUAUUGCAACGCCAGAUUAAUAUAUUAAUAAUUCAUGUUGCGAUGCUUUGUUUGGUAGCUUAAAUCAAUAAUCGCAAAACGACAAAUACAUAAUGAAUGAAGCAUCGACAUCCAUUAAAAUGAAAUAUAAUUUGUUCAUACAAAAUAUUUAAUGAAACACACCGAGUGUCAAACUAAAUGAGAACACAAGUAGAUAGCUUAACACAUAAUAAUGUGUCAAGCACAAACAACUGUUUGAACUCAUUCGAAUCAAAAGACUAAUGUCUACUGUAGCAGCAAAGGUUCCCUUGAUAUGUAAGUUGGCCAUCGUCCCACCAUUCGCAUGCUCCUUCUCAAACUCAAGAUUCCUCCUGAAAAAAUCAUUGACAUGCAUUGUUAAACUGAGACUAGUGGUGGCAAAGCUAAUUGAACACUGAAGCAAAACACGAGCUGCAGUACUAGCGUUCUGUGAGCUGCAGUACUAUCAACCAUGAACUUUGAAGCGAAAAUCAAAUAUAAACAUACAUGCAGCUGCCUCCCAAGACAUUUUAUGAGCACAUGAGCACAAACACAUCCAUAUAUAUUUCUAAUUAGCAAGAGGAAACUAAAGCCUGGACCAGAUUUAGGAGCAGAACAAAAGAAUGGCUAUGUACUUCUCCAAAAGGACUACAUGUUCCUUUUUAAUGCAAAGAGAGAUAAAAGGUUUCACAUAGUACCUGUGUAUCCCUUUUGGACAAUGCAGAUCUUUUCCUAGCAGUAGAUUCCUUCAGUUGCUUUGUUGUAGUAAAAACAACACAUGAAUUCGCUGCCGAAUUACUUCUUCUCAUGCGCCCUCUAGUGAGAUGUUCUUCAGCUGCAGUAGAAGGGGUUGUUUUUCUGGCUGGCUUGUUUCUUGGGUAACCGGAAAAUAAAUGGUUGGUGGUAAAAAUUACACCCCUUGACAAGAAUAUGACAUGCAUGUUACAAUUAAACACUCUUCAAUUAUCAUCAAACUACCUGCUGACUAUGCAUCAUGUGUUCUCCCUCUGCAGUUGUUACAUUUUGUGUCCCCUCAAUUGUUGCAGCAGCAGCAACACUUUCAGUUGGCUCCACAAUUGUGCUAGCCUGCAUUUCGAAUUGGGUUCAAGAUCAUGAUUUUCAGUUCAAUAAACUAUGAGAACAUAUAUGUUGUUGUUAAUAUUACCUUUUGUACUAAAGCUUGCUGUUGGGCUACUUGCAACAUUAACAUAGCUUGCCUAAGUGCUUCUCUAUCAGCCUCCCUUUCCUUGUUCCUCUGUUCAAGCUGACGCCUAUGUUCUUGCCUCUCGACUUCCCUUUCAACUUCUUGAGCUUCUAGUCUAUCUUGCAGCCGUCCAAACGAUUCAAUGAGGGCUUCCUCCUGUUGGAGUUUGCGCUGGUAGUCCUCCGACAGUAGCUCCUUUCUAGUUGGGUACCUUGCAAGGUAACCAUUAACAUGCAUCUUGUUUGAUUUGAUUUUUCUCGUUUCCUUGUAGGUCGAUUGGAAAAUCUGGUUCUGCUCCAAGUCUGAGACGACAUUUGCAUCAGGCCUUGACUCCAGCUCCAUAAUCUUUCUGGUUGCAUUGUCCUAACAAAGUAAAGACAUUUAGUUAAUUAAAACUUUAAUUCUAAGCGAGGACAGUUGCAUCGCUUAAGAAGGGUUGUAAAAACUGUUUAAUACUCACAUAGACUUCCCUAGAUUCCUCGCUUGUCCAUUGUCCAUUUUGUUGGUGGGUCAUCAUAAAAAGCUCCAUAUCAUUUGGCUCUUCACCAGUUAGUUGGUCCCUCUAAUUAGGCAAGCAUGUAAACAAAUUAGCCAUAUUUCGUAAUCUAGGGAAAUGUAGAAGCUUUUAUAAACUGUAAAGAUCAGGAAGAUAUUCAUCAGAAAUUAAAAAACAAAAGAUAACAGAAAUAUUUGUUGCUAUUGAAAAACUAAAGGAAUCCUAGUUCUUCUUUUUUUGGCACACAUUAGUUUUAGUACUUUUCACCUUUAUGUAUAGAAGAAUGCAAAAUAUAUUUUUUUGUAAUGGGCAGUGGGCUAAAUAUUUCUAUCAAAUACAAAGACUAUAUAGGUUAUAACAAUAUCAUGUCAUUGUCAUUCGGGGGCACAAGCACAAACCAUAAACAAAAAAGCCUGAAGGAAAACCUUGUGAAAGAAUUUUUUACCUUCUCAUAGCUCAAUUGAGAAAAACCCUUUGAUCCUGUAACAUGGUGUAUCUUUCGAUUGUGCCGAUUCUGAGAAUUCUUAUUGCUAAUCCUCUGCACACAACCAGCAAUGAUUUGCUAAUCCUCUGCACACAGCACAAGCUAAAUUGGUGAUCAUCGUUCAUCUUCAUCACGCAGAUGUCAGGCGAUGAUAGGAGUUGGAUGCGCUUGCCUCGUUCUUCAACCGAGUGGCAGAACAAAUUCAUGCAAUUUGUGGACAGGACAUAUAGUGUCACUUCGAGGGGUGGAACUGCAGCAUGUCCGUGCCGUAAAUGUCUAUGCAUGUCACACAGAACACGGGCUAUGCUUCAGAUUCAUGUCCUUUCAACAGGGUUUGCUGAAAGUUUUAUAAUGGAUGGGAAGGUUCAGCUGAUGUGGUAUUUCACAACGAAGAUGCAGGACCUAGUGAUGUACAAGUACACAAUGACGACCCAACAGCAGCAGAUGUACAAGUACAGAACGAUGAUGAAGGUGCACCACAUGAUUCUGGAGUAGACAAUGAAGAAGGUGGUGCACCAAGUGAAGAUGAUGAGGCCAGUAAUUUGAUUAAAUCCCUAAUCAGAGGUGAAAUACGAGGAGAGAUCGGUGAUGAAAACGAGCCGAACGAGCAAGCCAAGGUCUUCUUCAAGUUACUACAGGAGGCAAAAAAGGAAUUAUAUCCAGGUUGCGAAGAUGGUACAAAGAAAUCUUUUAUUGUGGAACUUUUCCAGGUUAAGUGCAUGUAUGGGAUAAGUAACAAAGCAUUGGAGGGGGUACUCUUUCUGAUCUCAAAGUUUCUCCCUAAAGGUCAUUGUGUCCCAAACACAAUGGAGAAAGUGCAAUGGGUGGUUCGCGAUCUAGGCUUGGACUAUAUCAAGAUAGAUGCAUGUGAGAAUCAUUGUGUGUUAUUUCUGCUCCAAUCUAAAGAGAUGUGUUGACGAUAAAACAUGUAAGGUGUCUGGACUCAAAACUCAUGACUACCAUAUUAUUGUACAAAAACUAUUGCCCUUAGUCAUUAGAAGGAUUUUGCCAGAAGAUGUUGCCAGGCCAUUGAUUGAGCUCAGUAGGUUCUUUAGUGCACUUUGUUCAAAUGAGUUGGUGCCAGCAGAUCUUGACAAACUAGACAGUUCAAUUAAAGAAACUCUUUCUCAGCUUGAGAUGGUUUUCCCACCUGCAUUUUUUGACAUAAUGAUUCAUUUGCCGGUCCAUCUAGUUGAAGAGGCUAAACUAGGAGGGCCCGUGUGUUACAGAUGGAUGUAUCCAGUAGAGAGGUAUCUACGUACUAUUAAAGGAUAUGUCAGGAACAAGGCACAACUAGAAGGAUCAAUAGCUGAAUGCUACAUAGUUGAGGAGUGUCUUACAUUUUGCUCUCGAUUCUUCGACAUCGACACCAAGCUGAGUCGAGCUGAUCGUCAUGAAAAUACAGUUGUGAAUGAGCCUCCAAGUGGUCUAAGCAUAUUUACUGAAAUUGAUUACAAGAGGAGAGGAAAUAAGGUUAAGAAUUUGGAGAAAGUUGAACUUCAAAAGAUGAGGCACUACAUAAUUACUAAUUGUGAUGAAGCCAGGAAAUGGGUAGAGUAAGUCGCAAUUUUUACCACUAAAUUUAUCUAUUAUUUGCUUGUCUGUGGCGUCAACUAAUAAUUUGGUGCACUCUGAUGUAGGGAGCAUAAGACACAACUAACAAGGGAUAGUUCAAUUAACAUUAAAAAACAACACAAGGAGCAUUUUGUAAGAUGGUUUGAAAUCGAGGUAUGUAGUAUUAUUUUAUAUUUUAAUUUCCACUUUAUGGUCAGACCGACGUAGUAAUUAACUGGUAGAUGUCUAACUUGAUUUUUAAAUUGCAGAUAGCAAAACUAUACGAGAAAGGGGAAGUAACUAAACUGAUGCAUGCCCUUUCUCAAGGACCUGACCCUCGAGCUCGUGUGUUGAAUAGAGUGCACAUCAAUAAUUGGCUAUUUCGGAUAGCUGCCAUAGAGAAAAGCCUCGUGACACAAAAUUCUGGUGUCCUUGUGAAGGGUGAUGAUAGUACAGGCAACAUGACCUGGUAUGGAGUUAUUAGAAAUAUAAUCUCACACGAAUUCCCACAAGAAAAAGAAGUUAUAUUGUUUCAGUGUGAUUGGUAAGAUGUGCCGGCUACCAGUACCAGCAGAAGCAUAGGGUACAAUAGGUAUAAAUUUGGUAUUAUCGACAUUGCUACUUCCAUGUUUAGAUAUUCGGAUGAACCUUACAUUCUUGCUUCAAACGCUGAACCGGUGUUUUAUGUCCCUACCGUGAACAAGCCGGGAUGGUCUACUGUUGUUUUGGUGAGACCAAGAAAUUUGUUUUCCAUGCCAGACACAGGAAAUGACGCCGAUGCACUUGAUGUGGGAAUCCAAGAAAUGAAUGAAUCAGGCCAAGGUUAGGAAUUCUUAAACUGGUCAAGACAAGAUAGGUUAGGCACAACUGGUUCUACCGCCAUUAUUAAUCAAGUGCGUAGCGAAGCAAUUCCCGAACCUGUUGAUGACUAUAUUGGUGACGAUGAUUCUGACGACGAUGACACCUACAUUGAUGAUGGGGUUAUUGCACCAGUCAUGGAAGAAAAUAGAGAAGAUGAUUUCUUUGUUUGAAGAAAAUUUUUUUGUUGCACUGUUUGAUGGGAAGGGUCACUUAUCCUUCAUACGCAUAUGUCGCACUUUAUUAUUUUUUCUUUUGAACUGAUGACAUGGUUAAGUUUGAACCGUUGCAUGGAACCUUAAUGUUGCACGUCGUGAUCCGGCACCUGGACACCAUAGUGCAGCACACGGACACAAGCCGCCUUGACCGUGAUCUUGCCUUGCACGCACAUGCACCAGCCAGCGGCCAUCAUGACCUUGCCGUCGCCGUCCAAGCACGCCAGCAAGCACACACGCAGCUCGGCUUCGGACAUCUGCACAGCCAUAGCACGCGCCAUCGACGCAACACCAUCGGCUUGAUCGGCACGGCGUCGCCGCGCCACUCGCUGCCACCGUGGCCUCGCCGCGGACACCGCGCCCAAGGACAUGCACCAGCACUUCCAUGAAGCACAACCCUACUCAGGCCAACGCACACUCACGCACAGCACCAGCAUGCGCAAUGCCUUGCUUUUCGUCGAGCACCUUUCGAGCACCUUUUCGUCGAUCACCUUUGGAGCACCAGCACGCGUUGCACUUGAACACAAUUUUCGCUUCGACCCCAGAGAUCUCGUUGCAAUAUAAUUUAGCACUUGCAACAAUAUCAAAGUUUAUUGCAACUGCCAAAAAAGGUUGCAAUUGACCCCCCCCCCCCACUUUUGCUUCGUCUCCAAGAGUUCUCGUUGCAUUAAGCAUCUAGCAUUUGCAAUGCUUGUCAAAUUUUAUGCAACAAAAAAAGACCGCAGCAAUAGUCAAAACCAAAUGCAACUAACGUAAAUGUAGUUGCAGUACUACCACACAAUUGCAACCAAAAUCAAUUCUACUGCAACCAUUUUUCACCAUUGCAAUAUCAUCCACCAAAUGCAACAGAGCUUUGCAACAUCUUGAAAACCGUUGUAUUAAAGGCAUGUAUCGCUACCAUUUUUUACAAUGGUUGUAAUACAACGAUCUCUAGCAACCAAAUUUUCUACGUUGCAAUUCUUCAAUGUUGCAUUAGACCGAAAAGUUUGUAGUGCUUCAAAAAAGCAAGCAUAUUCACCGUAAGGUGAAGUGUGUCCACUUAGUCCCCGAGCCUGGUAGUAGGUGACGUAGUCACGUGGUGCCUGUUAGAAUAUGUAACGUGAUCUGUGUACCUAGAGUUUGUUAGCUUUCGGUUAGUAUCUUGUACACCAGGUAGAUUAGAUUAGAUCUUGAUGUUUAUUUUCGGUUGUAAUCCUAUCUUGUUGUACAAGCUACGCCAAGGGCUGUUCUUGGCCUAUAUUAACACGAAACCGAGGCCCGAGAGGGUAUCUCGUUCUCGCCAUUCUCACAUGGUAUUCAGAGCCACCUUCCUAACGGAACUCAUCUAUGGCCGCCUCCUCCUCCGUUGCGUUUGCAUCAUUGUUGAUGGUCCUUAAGUAUCAAAUUUAAUUAUCAAAUAAACAAAGAAAAGGAUCUAAAUGAAAUCAACAUCUAGACUUAGGGUUUUAUCUGACAGAAUUCCAUGAGUUUUGGUGUUUGUCUAUUUCUGUAGGGGGUUAUCAGGAAAUACGGAAGAAAGGCCCACACGUCGGGAUUACAUAGAGAUAUCAACGUGCCGGGCAAUUAUUUUACAUCUAGAAGACUCCAGAAGCCACGGGAAGGAAGCGGAGGCCGAACGGAGCCAGGACCUGGGCGCCCGCCCAAGUCCUUAGGGCGCCCGCCCUGCUACAGUGGCCAAUCACGUUCAACCUCGCGGAUUAUGCUCCACCGACCUAAAGGAUCAAGAAUAAUCGUUCAAUCAAUGUCGGUUUGAUCCGACGGCCCAGGUUCACUUGAGGGGACUAUAUAACCAGACCCCCUGGCCCCUGGAGGAGGCACCCCUUGAUCAUUAUUCAUUAUUCAUAGACAGAGCAAAAGCUAGGGUUUAGAGAUGAGAGCUCUCCUCUCUUCUCUAAACUAGAGUAGAUCUAGAUAGUAGCAAGAUGGAGAGCGAAGGAGGAUUAGAGGAGAGGCCGGCUGUCGGUUCUUCCUCCGGUUGUACUUCGUCAUGAUCAAGCUCUAAUCAAGCUUGCUCAUGGGAUGACUCUGGUAAUCUACUUCUAAUUCAUUAUGCAAUUACUAAUUAUGUAUGUUCUGGUUCACAACUCUUUUGAGUACUUUAAUCUAUAGGACGCUAUAGGUGAGAGUCGUAGUAUAGGUGUAAGCGUGGUGCUUAGACCUAGAUUACUUGUGGAUAUCCCCUGUCUAGCUGGAUCGUAUGGUAGGCCGCGUAGGUGACAGUUACGUUGGUCCUCUCUAGUCCACCUCUCGUUAGCAGGAUGGGUAGGGUUUAUCGGCCUAAGGAUAAGCAUCCUUUGUGGUAUACUCUUAUCACGUGGUUCGUCUCAGACAUAGACAUACCUCUCUGAAGUAGAGAAACCAUAGUUAUACUCUCUAUUCUGUUACCAUCGCCCAUAUACUAGAAUUGCUCUAUUCUCUAUUCCCAUAUUAUCACUCACUGUUAUCUUACCUUUAAUAUUGUUCUUAUUCGAUUCUACCAUCUUUCCUAUUUACACUUAUUUACUUAUCUUGGUUAAGUUAGAGCGUAGUUGGUUCUCCCGUUUCCCUGUGGAUACGAUAAAACCUUUAACCGGGUAAAAGCUUCAACGGUAUCUGUGCGCUUGCGGAUUAUCUGUGUGCGUAUAAAUACCAUAGUACACUCUAGUGCCAUGCUGGGGAUGACAACCUAGUAUUCAAGUGGUGUUAGCAAGUGUCAACAAUCACCUCAGAUCGGGUUCUUACCCGUGAGCGAGAAGCUUGCAAGGAACAACUACGCGAUGUGGCGUCUCCAAGUUCUCUCUGCCAUUCGCAGGGCUCAACUCGCUGAGUUCAUUGAACCAUCGGCGAAGCCUCUGGAGAUGUUCCUCACUCCGGUGAAGGGAGAUGGCAGCACCGAUGACAAGAAGCCGCCAGUGCGCAACCCCGACUACGACAAGUGGCACGCCAAGGAUCAAACGGUGCUAAAUUUUCUCCUAACCUCUCUUUCAAAGGAGAUUUUUUCGCAAGUCACCUCCUCAGCAGAUACUGUGGCCAAGGCGUGGGCCGCCAUUGAAGGACUCUUCGCUACACAAUCUAGGGCACGGGUCAUUGCGACUCGUAUGGCCCUAGCCAUGGCAACCAAAGGAGCGUCCACCAUAUCUGAGUACUUCACGAAGAUGAAGGGCCUUGCAGAUGAGAUGGCAUCUGCAGGGCGAAAGCUGGAAGAUGAUGAGCUUGUCUCUUACAUCUUGACCGGCCUUGACAUCGACUUCGACAGUGUUGUGUCAGCUGUUGCCGCCCGAGUUGAACCAAUCUCGGUCGGGGAGCUGUACACUCAGCUAACCAGCCAUGAACAGCGCAUGGAGUUGCGCGGUGGAAACAAUGUCUCCGCAAAUCUAGCCACCAAGGGUGGACGCAGCAGCAACAAUGGAUCCUUUGGUAAUCGUGGCCGUGGCAAUGCCGGCCGUGGUGGCUUUGGCCGAGGAUUCCAGAGAGGUGGACGUGGCGGCACUGGUUGUGGUGGCGGGAGCUUUACACCAGGCAUAAUUUGCCAGCUCUGUGGUAAAGAAGGACACACGGUGAUCAAGUGCUUCAAGAGGUUCGACACCUCAUUCACCGGGGCUCCACAGAAGUCUGCUUCGUCGGCUACAACAUCGUAUGGAGUCGACACCAAUUGGUACGUUGAUUCUGGUGCCACAGAUCACGUGACCAACGAGCUUGAGAAGCUCACCAUCCGCGACAAAUAUGGUGGACAUGAUCAGGUUCAUUCGGCCAGUGGAGCAGGUAUGGAGAUUAAUCACAUUGGUUUUAGCACUUUGCACACCCCUACUAGUAAAAUUCAUCUCAACAAAAUUCUCCAUGUUCCUAGAGCCACCAAAAAUUUACUAUCUGUUCAUCGUCUUGCACGAGAUAACAAUGCCUUCUUAGAAUUUCACUCAAGUUAUUUUUCUAUUAAGGAACAGGGCACGAGGAAGACCCUCCUCAGCGGCAGAUGUGAAGGGGGGCUCUAUCCGCUCAAACCAAGUUCAUGCCAGUCGAGUCCAAAUAAACAAGUCCUUGGCGCUUCUGUCAAGCCGUCUGUGUCAUUAUGGCACCAUAGAUUAGGACAUGCUGCAACCAAUGUAGUUUAGCAUGUUCUUCAUCAUAAUAAGCUUCCUUUUGCUAGUGAGUCCAAUAAAGUGCAUGUUUGCGAUGCUUGUCAACAGGGAAAGAGUCAUCAGCUUCCAUAUCCUAGAUCCACUAGUGUUUCCACUAGUCCUUUGCAACUUGUAUUCUCUGAUGUAUGGGGUCCUACCCCUCCUCUGUUGGUCGCAAAACAUAUUAUGUGAGCUUCAUUGAUGAUUAUAGUAAAUUUACUUGGGUGUAUCUUCUUCGGCAUAAAUCUGAGGUGUUUCAAAUCUUCAAAGAAUUUCAGCAACUUGUAGAACGACAAUUCAAUUGCAAAAUCCUUACCAUGCAAACCGAUUGGGGUGGUGAAUAUCAAUCCCUCAACUCAUUCUUUAAACGAAUAGGUGUUGCUCAUCAUGUGUCGUGUCCACAUGCCCAUCAGCAAAAUGGUUUGGCAGAACGAAAACAUCGUCAUAUAGUUGAAGUUGGGCUUUCCUUGCUUGCACAUGCAUCCAUGCCUCUAAAAUUCUAGGAUGAAGUCUUUUCUACUGCUGUCUUUCUCAUCAAUAGACUCCCCUCCAGGGUUAUCCACAAUGAAACACCCUUUGAACGCCUGUUCAAGCAAGCACCCGAUUACACGUUUCUCCGAUCAUUCCAUUGUGCUUGCUGGCCAAAUCUUAGACCCUUUAACACCAGAAAGCUCCAAUUUUGAUCCAAGCAAUGUGUCUUCCUUGGUUAUAGUGACAUGCACAAGGGUUUCAAAUGUCUAGAUCCAUCUGAAGGGCGAGUCUAUAUCUCUCGGGAUGUUGUAUUUGAUGAGCUUGUGUUUCCCUUCUCUCGUCUUCAUCCAAAUGCCGGUGCAAGGCUUCGUGCUGAACUAUCUGUGCUCCUGAUUCUUUACAUAACCCUAACUCUAGCUAUGGGGAUGCAAUUUUGCUUGACCAUUGUGAUCAAAAUGCUCCAUCUACUGACUGUGCAUCCAGCACUGGUAUUUUUUUGAACACUGCAGGAGCACCUCCGACUCAAACUGGUGGAAAUCCAGGCGAAAAUGAUGCUGCAGGUCGUCAUUUUAUGUGUCUCCCCUCAGGAAGCCUGUCGGGCGCGAGGAAUGGAGCUGAUCCUGCAUCAACUCCGGGAUUACCGCCCGACACGCCCGCGCACUCGCCGCCCGCUGUUGAUUGCCCUGCGGGAUCCUCUGCGCCUUCGGACACAGCUUCUUUGGCACCUGCGCCAUCCAUUCAUCCACAGACGGAUCCAAGCAUCGGGGAGUGCUUCUGUAGAGAUUGUGUCCGCCGGAUCGUCUGUGUCUGGAUCUUCAACUGCGUUGCCUGCGGCACCAGUCACUGCUCAACGCCCAGUCACCCGCCUUCAGCAUGGAAUUCAAAAGCCCAAAGUGUACACAGAUGGCACGAUUCGCUGGGGUUUAUCAUCAUCAUCCUCUCCCAGUGAACCCACGUCUGUGACUGAAGCUCUACGGGACAAGAGAUGGGUGAGUGCCAUGAACAGUGAGCAUCAGGCACUACUGAAGAACAAAACCUGGCACUUGGUUCCUCCUCCGAAAGGGAAAAAUAUUAUUGAUUGUAAGUGGGUUUACAAAAUUAAAAGGAAAGCUGAUGGGACUAUUAGGUAUAAGGCACAACUGGUUGCAAAGGGUUUUAAACAGAGAUAUGGGAUUGACUAUGAAGAUACAUUCAGUCCAGUGGUAAAAGCUUCUAUUAUUCGACUUGUUCUGUCUAUUGCAGUCUCCAGAGGGUGGUCUCUUCGAUAGCUAGAUGUCCAGAAUGCUUUCCUUCACGGUAUCCUGGAAGAAGAAGUCUAUAUGAGGCAACCACCUGGAUAUAUAGAUAGUUCAAGACCAGCCUUUGUCUGCAAGCUUGACAAGGCACUAUAUGGGUUAAAACAAGCACCUCGUGCGUGGUAUGCACGGCUGUAUGGAAAAUUACAAGCACUGGGGUUUAAAUCUUCCAAGGCUGAUACAUCUCUCUUCUAUUAUAGUAGAGGGCAGUAUGUCAUGUUUGUUCUUGUAUAUGUGGAUGAUAUUAUUGUCGCUAGCUCCUCACAAAGUGCCACCAGUGCUCUGCUGAAAGAUCUAGAAAAAGAGUUUGCCUUGAAGGAUCUAGGGGAUCUGCACUAUUUUCUUGGAAUUGAGGUUAAAAGAAACUCGGAUGGAUUGAUCCUGUCACAAGGGAAGUAUGCUGAAGACAUUGUCAAAAGAACAAACAUGCACAACAGCAAACCGAUCAAUACUCCGAUGUCAGGAACAGAAAAGCUGAGCUCAACCGAAAGUGAUCUGCUUGGACCUGAGGAUUCCACGAACUACAGAAGUGUAGUGGGUGCGUUACAGUAUCUGACAAUGACACGCCCUGAUCUGUCGUUUGCAGUCAACAAGGUUUGCCAAUUCUUGCAUGCUCCAACUACAGCACACUGGAGUGCAGUCAAGCGAAUACUUCGAUAUGUCAAUGGAACAACAAGGCUUGGACUUAAUAUCAGAAGAUCAAAAUCGAUGACUGUAAGUUCUUUUUCAGAUGCUGACUGGGCAGGCUGUAUUGAUGAUCGCAGAUCCACAUGGGGCUUUGCAGUGUUCCUUGGCUGUAAUUUGAUCUCAUGGAGUGCAAGGAAACAAGCCACGAUGUCUCGCUCAAGCACAGAGGCAGAAUACAAGGCUCUGGUAGAUGCUACUGCUGAGAUGAUGUGGGUGCAGAAAUUGCUUACAGAGUUGAGAGUUCAACAUCCAUCUGCUGCUCGCAUUUGGUGUGAUAAUAUUGGGGCCACAUACUUAACAGCGAAUCCAGUAUUUCACGCAAGAACAAAACACAUCGAAAUUGACUUUCAUUUUGUUCGUGAAAGAGUAGCCCAGAGGUUGUUGGAAGUUCGUCAUAUAGGUACAAAUGAUCAACUAGCUGAUGGACUCACAAAACCCUUGCCGUUGGCAAAGUUUAUUCUCUUUAGAAACAAUCUCAAUCUUGUAGGAAGUUGAGAUUGAGGGAGGAUGUUAGAAUAUGUAACGUGAUCUGUGUACCUAGAGUUUGUUAGCUUUCGGUUAGUAUCUUGUACACCAGGUAGAUUAGAUUAGAUCUUGAUGUUUAUUUUCGGUUGUAUUCCUAUCUUGUUGUACAAGCCACGCCAAGGGCUGUUCUUGGCCUAUAUUAACACAAAACCGAGGCCCAAGAGGGUAUCUCGUUCUCGCCAUUCUCACAGUGCCAGGGUCUAAAAAGAAAAUCAUCUUAAAAUUUCUGAUACUAACAUGCAUCGCUAGAUGCAUCGUACCAAUGUAGUCCCCGAGCUUGCUGGAAGGCGAAGCAUGAGCCUUGUAGCAAGGUCUAAACAAUUAAAACUAUCCAAUUAGACGUUAUGCAAUUGCAUUUUCCAAGCCGAGGGCGCGUCACACUUGCUUGCGACUGAAUGGAAACGGCCAACCGGUCCCCGAGCAUGUCAUGCUCGACGAUUGGUACGGCCCUCAGAUUUUCUAAAGAUCGGACUAGUUGAAUGGGCGAACUGGUCGACCAGUCCCCAAGCAUAUCAUGCUCGUUGGUCGGUACAGUCCCCAGACUGUCGAUUGGGCGAAUUGGUCGGCCAGUCCCUGAGCACAUCAUGCUCGGUGGUCGGUACAGUCCCUAGAUUGUCGACUGGGCGAACUGGUCGGCCAGUCCCCAAGCAUAUCAUGCCCGAUGGUCGGUACAGUCCCCACAUUGUCGAUUGGGUGAACUGGUCGGCCAGUCCCAGAGCAUAUCAUGCCCGAUGAUCGAUAUAGUCCACAGAUUGUCGACUGGGCGAACUGGUCGGCCAGUCCCUGAGCAUAUCAUGCUCGGCUGACCCAAGAUCAUGCUUAUCUUUUGAAAAAAAUUGUAUCGCCAUAUUAAUGUGCGAUGUGACGGAGCAUCCUGCCAUAUUGUCAGUCUGUUGCAUUAAAAGGAGCGCCUGCUAACUAUACAGCCGCUCUUUGCGUGGACCAAGAAAAGGAAACCAACAAUCAUUCAGAAAAGCCACCAAAUUAACUGCGAUAAUUCUUGACAACCGAAACGUUACAGCUGCCGCAAAAUCCGCCCACUUCCCCAAAAUGCGGGAAGUGGAAAAGGUGAGUUUGCUGUUAUAAAGAGCUCGAUGUUGUGUCCAUAUUUUUUACCCAGUAGUUGCAUAGUAGCCUCCUUCCUUUGCCAUUACUGCCUCCUGCCUUCGCCAUCUUUAGCGUUCUCAACACCCAGUUCAAAGCUCUUCCUGCUGUGACAAUGGCGAAGAGCGAUUCGAAGAAAAGGGCCAAGAUGAUGGCCAAAGAGUGGAAGAAAUCUCGGAGGACCACGAGGUCCCUCAACGACCUCGUCGGAAUAGGCCUUCUACACAACCACGAGCUCGGCGGCUGGAGGGCACCAGAGGGAGAGAGUUACCCCGACCCCCGCGUCGGUGAGAUCGUAGUUUUUGAAGAUUACUUCAAAAGGGGACUUGGGGUUCCCGUUCAUCCUUUUCUUCAAGGUCUUCUCCUUUACUAUGAGAUCAGGAUUUGCAAUCUGCACCCGAACCCUAUUCUCCUUAUCUCUACCUUCAUCCAUUUGUACGAAGCCUAUGUUGGGAUAGAGCCGCAUUUCAAUCUCUUCCGCUAUCUAUUCUGUUUGAGGAAGAAGGGAGCAGUUGGGAGCUCCAAGAUUGCAGGUGGAGUAUACCUCAAUCUUCGCGACGGGAUGAAGAACCGUUACCUCAGCUGCCCAUGGAACACCUCCCUCACCGAGUGGUAUAAAAGGUGGUUCUACAUCAGAGAGGAGCCGGGCAGCGCCACGUUCUUCGACGUCAGCUACGUUCCCAAGAAGAGGGUUAGCUGGAUGGACCGUCUAGAGUAUACUGGUCAAGUGUUAGAGCUGAUGAGCCUGAUCGACUGGUCCCGCCUGGACGGACAAGGGGUGGUCGGGAAUUUCCUCGCCCGACGAGUGAUGCAUUGCCAGAGGAGAGUGCACUCGGCAUACGAGUACGCAGGAAGCCAAGACCCGACUAGGAUGCACCGGGACAGCUUGGAAAAAUCAGAUAUCCAGCGGAGGAUGAAUGAGUUAUUCAACCUAGCAGAUAAUAACUUCGUUCGUAGUGAUGACCGGAUGCAUGCCUUCAAGCUAGGCCGACCAUCUCCUAAGGUAAAUGAAUACCCUGGUUUAUUUGUACUAUUUGAAUACUAUAGCCUUUUGGCUGAUGACUUAUCACCUUUGCAUCACAGAUAGGAGAUAUUGACCGGUGCAUGGUGUAUGUGUCGCUGGCACCCGAUAUGGACCAUCCUGCUGGGGUAGACCCGCCGGCAGACAAUGCUGCUCGGUGUCUCCAAUACACCAGCAGCAACGAGGACAAGAGCCGUCCAGCACCGACCACAGAUGACAGAGUAGCUGGGAAAAGGCCGAUGGCUGUGGAGCCAUCCUCCACGGAAGCAAUUCCAGCGAGAACGGCUGCAGACCCUUCGAUGGGCCAAGGCUCGACCAGCCAUGCCCCCAAGCGUCGCCGGCUUGUGAGGAUUGUCGACGACGACAACGAAGAGGACGAGAUGGCCCCGUCCUUGGUCCGGAGACUACACAGCCGCCCUGACGUCGCGCCGAUCGACGCUGAUCGGGUAACUAGAGACCCACAUGCCGCGCACGUGGAGCCGAUACGUCCUGGAGGAACAGAAGCGGCCACGGCGGCUGGGCGGUCCAGGAGAAGGUUCUUCACAGCAGCACACAGGAGCUCUGACCUGUAAGUUCGGAAAAGUGUCUCUGCACUCUCUUUGUUUUUUACGAGGUUUGAUGUGAGUAUGGUAAUUUGCAUUAACUCUUUCUUUGCUAGUGCGGCCUCGGAUGUUGAUCCGGGCAACAUUGGCAGCUUGAGGACAACCGAGCCAGCGAUUGCGGAUGACAAUGUCACCGAGCAGACUGUCCGCGAGCAGCCGGUAGAGCAGACCGUAGUUGCGGCCACGGUAGAGCCGAGGAGGACCCGGCCCAAGACAAGGCCGGGGCGAGCACCCCGACAAGGGGCAAUGAGACCGCCUCCCCCGAGCAGCGUUGCAGAGGAGGGAAACAGGAUCCCGACCCCCCCUCCAACUGAAGAAGAGAGGGCCCCAACUCCAGCUCCAGCAGAAGCUUCCACGCUGGAGGGCUCCCCUAGCCAGGGUAAGGGUCCUAUGAUACCCGUUGCCGUGGCUGGGGGUAGCGCAGAGGGUGAGGAGGCCCAUGCGGCCUCCGAUGAUGAAGUGGAGGAGAUCUAGGGGCAUCCCCACGAUGGUCGCCAACACGUUUACGUGUGGCGCCAGCGUGGGGACCACUGGGCCGGCCACGAGGAGAUCGCCGAGACCGAGGAGGCGGCGAGGGUAGAGCGCGCUGCUAAGCGGCUCGUUGAUGAAGUUAAGGUGAGUGGUCUUGUAUUCUGCUGGAGUAUGUGUAUACUGUUGCUUGUUCACUGUGUGAUAUGUAUAUUUCUCGCAGGGUGCAAUGAAAAUGGCGAAGUACCGAAAAAGGUGCUUCGACCAAAUUGAAGGCGUAGUCGCCGAAAACAAGGCCUUAACGACAGAGGUGGACCGCCUUCGGCUGGAGGCCAAAAGGGAAGUGGUCGAGAAGGCGGCUCAAGAGGAGCGUGUGCUAGACCUGAAUCGGCGGCUGGCCGAUAAGGACCGUGAGAAGAGGGGUAAGUCGAGUGAUCCGAGCAGUUGCAGUUAUCUACGUGGUCGGUUUUGAUGAUCAACGAUUGUUGGUUUAGAUCUAGAAGAAGAGAUCGAACAUCUCCAAAAAGAGAGGGACCAGCUCGACCAGGAGCGUACCAGUGCGUUGGAGGCCGAGCGCAACGUAGGCGAGGAGCUGAAGAACAGGAAUCGGGAGCUGGCUGGUAAGAGCUGUUUCGACCUUUUCGACCACGCGGUUCUCUUUUUUUAUACUGCCGUAGCAUAUUGCUGACUGUUUGCUUGGUUUGUCUUGAAAACUUUUUCAUAGUGCUCAAAGUGAAUACUAAGAAGCACAUUGAUGAGCUGGUCAAGGAACAGGACUCCUGGAAGAUGAACUGCAUCAAGCUCUGGAAAGGAGUUGCCCCAGUACUUGAACUGAUCAGCCUCAAGCUCCCCGAAGACCAGCCCCGCGCGCCAAAAUUGACCCCGAUCGAGAAAGCGCAGCAGGCGUGGGGCUGGCUUCAGCAGUUCAUCAAAGAUGCCGGGGAGUUUGCCAAAGCGCACGUCCUCAACAUGGUACGCGCUCACUACCCUGGUCGAUCUAUCCCGACUGGAGAGGGGAUAUCCGAAGGAGGCAGAUGACCUUCGCGUCAGCCUGACGGUGAUCGGCGAUAUAAACCUCUGCGGGACGUCAACCACCCCCGAUCAGCCGGGAUCAGACAGGUUGGCCAGGGAGUUGUUGAGGGCAGGAGAUGGGCGGUCGAUGCCUACGGUCUCGACCAGCCAGGCGCCGGUGGCCCCGACCCCUUCGGCGAGACGAGAGAGCCGUGCGAGUGAUCAGCCCGAGCAGUAGGCUCAUAGAGUAGUCUGUAGGGGUAGACUAGAAACCGCCCAGAGGGGUGUUUAUUGUAAACUUUGUAUAUAAAGUUUGUAAUAAAUCCUAAAUUUUGAGAACCAUGGUUUUGAGUGCUGUGAAUAAAUUUGCUUGAGUGAUGUAUCACUGAAUCAUGUUGAUUGCCCUUGAGUAGCUUGUUAAGGGAAGUUAUUGUAGCACUUGUCGAGUGUUCUGCAUAUGUAAAAGUAUAUAGCAAAAAAGACAAACUUUAUUAUUAUUCAUCAAAAAAGAUUUACAAGUAAAAUGACUAAAACUUAGGGAUAGAAGCGUCGUAGUUUGUCUAUGUGCCAGGACUUGGGCAGGCUUGUUCCAUCUGGGUACGCCAGUCUAUAAGAUGUAGGGCGUGUAACUUCGGCGACCACAAAAGGUCCCUCCCAGGGUGUAGAUAACUUGUGCAUUCCCUCCUGGCUUGUUUUCCAUUUGAGUACCAGGUCACCGACCACGAAGGAGCGGUCUUUGACGUUCUUGUUGUAGUAUCGUCUGAUGGCCUCAAGAUACUUUGCUGUUCGAAGGCAAGAAGUCAGACGCCUCUCUUCUGUGCAGUUGAUUUCAAGUUCUCUGGCGAGGUCUGCUGAAGACUGGUCAAAAUGUUCGACUCUUGGAGAUCCAAAGGCUACGUCCGAGGGGAGCACUGCCUCGGCCCCAUAAACCAAAAUAUAGGGGGAUACACCCAUGUUCCGACUAGGCUGUCUUUGGAGACCCUAGACCACUGCUGGUAACUCUUUCAUCCACCGCCCUGGUGCCCUGUCAUAUUCCGUGUACAGCCUUUUCUUAAGAGCAUCAAUAAUCAUUCCAUUUGCUCGCUUGACUUGACCGUUGGCUCGCGGAUGAGCUACCGACACGUACUUUAUGACUAUGCCUCUGUCAUCACAGAAGUCCCAGAAUCUAGUGCCGAUGAACUGAGUGCCUAGGUCAGUGAUUAUGCUGUUGGGAACCCUGAAUCUAUGUAUGAUUUGAUUGAGGAAUUCUGCAGCCUUCUCGGAAGUCACUUUGACCAGUGGCAUGUACUUGAUCCACUUCGAGAACUUGUCGAUUAGCACGAACAUGAAUUUGAAUUUGCCGGGAGCCGGUUUGAAUGGCCCGAUCAUGUCAAGACCCCAACAGGCAAAUGGCCAAGAUGACAGAAUCGUUUGGAUCUCAUGAGCGGGUACGUGGGUCCGUUUGGUGAAGAAGUGGCAUCCUUCGCAAUGCCGGACCAGUUUCUCGGUGUCUGCGAAUGCGGUUGGCCAGUAAAAACCUGCUCGGAAGGCCUUUCCGACCAGUGUUCUAGAGGCAGCGUGGUUGCCACAGGAUCCAGCAUGUAUGUCAUCCAGUAGCUUAAUGUCAUUGUCUUGAGUUAUGCACUUGAACAAGAUUUCUGAGUUUGCGUUCUUACGCAUAAGUCUACCAUCGACUAGUAUAUAAUUUUUGGAGUGCCGGAUAAGGCGCUCGUUCUCCGUUUUGUCUUGAAAUCCUGAACCGUCCGAGAAGUACUUAACGAAAGGAGCACACCACUCGUUGCCAUUGGCUGUCGGAGCGGUGUUUCGUACGAGCAGCGUCUCGUUGUGUGGCUUGUCGACCAGGUCCGUCCCGACGCUUGGCGUGUGAAUGUCUUGAACAAACACACCUUGCGGAAUCUGGGCCCGGGAUGAUCCUAUCUUUGACAGCGCAUCUGCUGCUUGAUUCUUGUCUCGGACCACGUGGAUGUACUCUAUGCCGUAAAAAUUUGAUUCCCAUCUUUGGAUUUCUUUGCAGUACAGGUCCAUUUUCUCAUGGGUCGUGUCCCACUCCUUAUUUAACGAGUUAAUGACUAGAGCAGAGUCGCCAUAUACGUAAAGACGCUUGACUCCUAGUUCGACGGCCAAUCGGAUGCCGUGCAGGCAUGCUUCGUACUCGGCGACAUUGUUGGACGCUGGGAAGAGGAUCCUAAGGACGUAGCGUAGUUUGUCUUUGUUUGCUGAAACGAAAAGGAUGCCGACACCAGCUCCAAUGAUGUUUAAAGACCCGUCGAAGAACAUUCACUAGUGAUCGAAGACAUCUGGGGAGGGUGGUGCGUUGAGAUCUGUCCAUUCUAUGAUGAAGUCGACCAGGGCUUGAGACUUGACGGUUGUCCGACUCUAGAAAUCUAAUGAAAAUGUACAUAACUCCAUGGCCCACUUUACAAUCCUGCCGUUGGCGUCCUUGUUGCGCAAAAUGUCGCCCAACAGAAAACUCGUGGUAACUAAGACGCGAUGGCCAUCGAAGUAGUGCUUCAGCUUCCUUGAAGUGAUUAAGAUGGUGUAGAUUAGCUUUUGUAUUUGGGGAUACCUAGUCUUAGAUUCAUUUAGGAAUUCGCUUAUGAAGUAUACUGGUCUCUGGACUUUGUAGACGUGGCCUGGUUCAUCCCACUCGACCACGAGCACCGUGGAGACGACCCGAUCAGUUGCGGCUAUAUAGAGGAGCAGGUCCUCGUUAGGUUGAGGUGCAGUGAGGACUGGUGGUGAGGUGAGGAAAGUUUUGAGCUGGGUGAAUGUCGCGUUGGCCUCUUCUGUCCAAGAGAAUUUUUCUGAUGCUUUCAGAAGUUUAAAGAAGGGAAGCCCUUUUCCCCCCCAGCCUAGAGAUAAACCGGCUGAGAGCUGCCAUGCACCCCGUGAGCUUUUGAACGUCUUUGACGUUCCUGGGUGGUCGCAUAUUGAGCACCGCCUUGACUUUUGAGGGGUUUGGCCGUAUGCCGUCGUGACUGACAAUGUUGCCGAGCAGUAUACCAGAGGGAACCCCGAAGAUCCAUUUUUUGGGGUUAAGCUUCCACUUGUAUUUAUUUAGCACUUUAAAAGUGCGGUCUAAUUGUCGAUCAGGGUGCUUGCGUCCCUGGUUUUGACGACAACGUCGUUGACGUAGGCCUCGAUGAGGUCAUCACGUAUCUCGUCGUGGAGGCAUUGCUGAAUAGCGCGUUGAUAGGUGGCUUCAGCGUUUUUGAGUCCGAAGGACAUGGUGGUGUAGCAAUACACACCGAAAGGAGUGAUGAAGGAAGUUUUGAUCUGGUCAUCUUCCUUUAGCAAGAUGUGGUGGUAACCAGAGUAACAGUCAAGAAAAGAGAGUAGUUCGCAUCCGGCCGUUGAAUCGACCACCUCGUCGAUACGGGGGAGACCAAAAGGAUCUUUAGGACAGUGUUUAUUGAGAUCAGUGUAAUCAACGCACAUUCUCCAUUCAUUAUUCUUUUUUCUUACAAGGAAUGGAUUGGCGAACCAAUCGGGGUGAUACACUUCUUUAAUAAAUCCGGCUGCUAAAAGCCAUGUAAUCUCUGUCCUAAUAGCCUCUUUUUGUCACGAGCGAACCGUCGUAGCUUUUGCUUGAUAGGUCUUGCGGUCUUCGAGACGUUUAAGGAGUGCUCGAUCAGGCUUCGUGGGAUGCCGGGCAUGUUUGCGGGUUUCCAUGCGAAAACGCUUACGUCCAGGUUGGCCCCGAUGAGUACCAUCUUCUCUGGGCUACCGUCGACCAGUUGUACUUCCUUGUGCUCUUUGAACUUGGAGCUUUUUCUUGGAGUCUCCUACUCGGGUAGUUGGAGCUAGUCGGGUGGAACUUGCGUGGCUUGUGCUACAGUUUCUGCCAUGCGAAUCGAGAGGUCAAUUGCCUCGGUAAUCUUGAAGCUUUCUUCUUCGCAAGUAUACGCGGUGUAGACGUUGCCCCUGACGGUUAAGACACCCUUCUCGGUUGGCAUCUUGAGGACCAGGUAUGAGUAGUGCGGAACUGCCAUGAACUUUGUAAGUGAAGGACGGCCGAGAAUUGCGUGGUAGGUCCCAUCGAAGUCGGCGACCACAAAGUUGACGAACUCUGUGCGAAAGUGGUCUGGUGUUCCAAACUGGACGGGCAGCGUUAUCUGGCCAAGGGGUACUAAACUUUGACCCGGCAAGACGCCCCAGAACUGAGCGUCGUACGGUUUCAGCUGCGCCGGUCUUAACUUGAGAGCAGGCAGGCUAUUGCGGAACAGGAUGUCAUGGAGCUACCCCCGUCAACGAGCACGCACUCGAACCUAACGCUGUUGAUGCACGGGUCCAAGAUCAACGGGAAGUGCCCUAGUUCUAGGAUGGUGGCCCACUGGUCCUACCUGUUGAAGGAAAUCUCUCGGUGCGACCAGGGAUGGAAUUUAGGAUCGACGAUAAGGCCAUCGGUGGUGUCCAUAUUAAGGCAAGCGCUUUUCAAGAGCUUUCUUUCUUGUUUUGACUCGAUGGAGACUUUGCCUCCAAAGAUGGAGUGUACCACGUCGGUGGGACUGACAUAUUGGUGCCGUGGGUCCCUAUCCUGGUCGUCGUCUUCGUCUUCCUGACUGCGUUUGUCCUGUUUCCCGUUUUUCUUGGCGGCAUCCCCCUAAGCGGCCCGCUGUAUGUAGAUGCUUUUGAGGACACGACAUUCUUCCAUCGUGUGGUUGGACUUGGGAUGGAGUUGGCACGGUCCUUUCAGCAUCUUGUUGUAGUCUUCCUAGUAGUCUCGCCGUCCAUUGGGACGCUUGACUGUGUUCACCUCGUGAUCGUUGUCGCGAGGUUGCUUGCCUCUGAAAUCGUCACAAUUGUCACGACGCAUGUCCCACCCUUCUCGGUGGCCGCGGUUGUCGCCGCGACGGGGAUUUCGGUUGUCGAAAUGCCCACGGCUGUCGUCUCGUCGGGGAGGCUGCUCGGCUCCACUUACAUCUUCUCGGUUGAGCUUUUCUGCGUCGUCGGCGUCGGCAUAGUUUUUGGCCAUGGCAAGGAGCUCGGCGACCGUGGUCGGCCUUUUGCAUAGUAGCUUGCUUCUCAAUGCUUCGUGGAAGCAUAGGCCCUUGAUGGAGGCCGAUAUAGCCUCAUCGUGAAAAAUCUUCGGAAUCUUGAGGCGCAUAUCCGAGAAGCGUCGGAUGUAAUCACACAGGGGCUCAUUCUUCUUGUCCCCUUUCGAGAUCGUAUUUGUUUCCAGGCUGCUCGCAGGUAGCAAUGAAAUUAUCAAUAAAUGCCUGGCGCAAUUCUUCCCAAGAAUCGAAAGAGUCCUCGGGUAGACCGAGGAGCCAUUGGUGGCUGGCUUGGUCGAGGACGACUCGGAAGUAAUUUGCCAUGACGUGCUCAUCCCCUGCAGCUAAUCGGACUGCGAUCUCGUAAAGAGUGAUCCAGUUUUCGGGAUUCUCCUUCCAUCGUACUUUUUAAGCUUCUCAAGCUUGAAGUUGCGAGGCCAUACGACUUGGCGAAGGUGUGAGGAGAACUGUCUUAGGCCGGGGGCCAUGUGCUGCAUCGUACUCGAUGCGUCGCACGUUUUCAUGUACUUUCGUUCCGUAAUGUGCCUGUUGAUGCAUUCGCGGACAUCCUUAGCAGGGUUGUUGUGUCGUAGGUCCCGGUCUUAGUUCACCUCCUGACCACGUCUGCGUCUUUGUUCGUGGUAACUGUCAGCAUCCCGACUGCGAUUGUCGCGAUGGGUGUUCUUCCUUCGAUUGUUGAUAGGUGAACGGCUACGAUGGUGCCCACUGGAUCGCGGUGAGGUUCGACUGCGGUGAGUCUGAUCAGAGGUGACCUCCGUAUAGGAGAUGGCUUGGACCCUUUUAAGUAGAGUAGCGGUCUGUCCCAUGGCCGCGAUCAGAUGUGCUCGUAUAUUGGAUCGGAUGCCUUGGUACUCCGGAGUAUCGGGGAGUCGAUCCAGGUUUGCCAUGGCUAUGGCCACAUUGGCGCUUGGUGUCUUGUAGACUUACUGAUUUCCGACCAUGUCGAAAGCAUCGCUAAGGUUGUGUGGGGCGAGUUGCCGCUCCUCAUCUGCUCGUCGCUGAGCACGAUCGGCGUUACGCUGUUCGCGCUGUUGCCUUUGUUCAUCGGUUUCGCCAUCGACAACUAGUUCGUCAUUGCUGACGUUGAAAACCAGAUCUCCUCGUCGGGGUGGAAAGACUGGAAAGCGGAAAAACCCUAGGGGGUAAGGUGGUAGAUCCAGGUCGUAGUCUUCGUCCUCGGGGUGUAAAACCUCGAUAGGAAUAGAUCCUGUGCUAGAGUUUGUGCUGGUGGCCUUGUCGUCUGGUAGUGUUCGGAUGGACACCAUGUUGACAAAGUGACGAGUUGACCUACUGAUUUUCCCUGGCAACAAUCCCAUCUUCCCGAAUAGAGAAUUGGUAUGCCGCGAAAACUGAUCAGCCGCGUUGUUCAGACCGUGAGGGAAGUUCUGGUCUGGUGAGACUGUCUUGAACUUGACAGCCCGACCCGCGGUGGUCGAUGUUAUCGUCAGGGACAUCUCUAGUCGUUCGUGUGUGGAGACACGAGUUGGUCGACGGGAGUCGAAAAAAUUUGAUGUUGUCGCCUGGUCGGGCUUGCAUGAAAUCGAAUCCACCAGGUUGGAGGCUUCGAGGAGUUUGUGCUCGACGCGAUCGAGGGCUUGAAGAAGAUCCAAGUUGUCGACUCGCUUUGCCCUGUGGCGAGGGAGCGGAAGUCGGGUCCUCGGAGCCGGCGUGAUCAGAGCCAACGCCUCUGAUGUCCCAGAUUGGACCUGGGUUUCUUCCGGAGUCAUGGUUGUAAGGUCGCCACCGCGAGUUGUCCAAGUGAUCUGCCCGACGGUGAACGUGAGACCUUCAGCCAUGGCCACGGAAGCUGAGAUGAUGACCAUCUUGUUCGUCUAGGAAGCUGUACGCACAACCCCUACCUGGCGCGCCAGUGUCGACGAAAGCUAGUCGGCAGUCUACCUUGGGGUAUACCCACGGUAGUAGUUUAUCGGCAGAUAGGUGCGCAAGCUACGAACUUGAUGGUGACGCAAGACACAUACAAGGAUUUUAUCCAGGUUCGGCCGCCGUGUGGGCGUAAUACCUACGUCCUACGUCUGAUUGUAUUGGAUUGUGUUGAAUUGAGAUGAGAUGGAUUGUCUAAGGGGGGUCCCUUGCCUCUCUUUAUAUAGUCCAGAGGGCAGAGUUACAGAUCUGGAAACUAAUCCUAGUCGGUUAUAAUUGCCAUAGAUAUCAUAAUAUUAAUUCCUAUUCUAACCGACUAGAAUCCUGCUCGAUCUCAACGUCUUGUUUCCUUGCGCGAGACUUCGGGCAGUUGGAUCAAGCCCCGAGUCUUCCUCGUGAUGGGCCAAGUCUCCUGGCCCAAGUCUAGCCGUAAGGGUAUAGGGGUUUAUACCCCCACAUUACCUGCUUGUUCUAUGUUUGGUUCAUGAACAAUAUUGUUUACUAUUGGACUUUGCAAUUUGUUGUCAUAUAAUGCACUUUAGAAAUUUUAAUUUGGUUUCAUUAUUAGUAGUCAAUAUUUUUAUUUGAAUAUUGCAUAGGCAAUGAAAUGAGGUUAAGUAGUUGAAAUGGAAGUUAACAAACUAGUAUAUUACAUAACUAAUAGCACACAUCACAUUUAAUGGCCUAUCAAAACAUGCACCAAACUAGGGUGCAGAGGUUCGAGACUAAACCUAACAUGCCUUAGGUAAUUCAAGCAAUUAACAAGCACAUGAAAUGGCAUGUGAGAACAUAUACCACACAAAGGUAUAUUGUUCUUUCGACUAACCCUAACAUGCCUUAGGGUAAUUUAACCAAACAACAAACAUAUGGAUGUGGCCUGUGAAUGAGUUCAGUUUGACCUAGUAGUGUGGCCACAUAGCAAACUGUGUUGCCCCUUCUCCAUAGUAUCCUCCCGUUGUUGGCGGUGGUGGUGGUGGUGAAGGAGGGCCCUUGUUCUUGUGAUUAGGGUAGGUGCAGUAUGAAUCAGUGCAUAUUGCGUUUUGUGAGCCAGUAGCAUUGCUGUUGUCGUCCUCUUCUUCGUCCUUGUAACCACUGCUAACUUCUGUUUCUAAAUCAAAGAUACGGUCCUGCAGGUAGUAGAUGUACUCUGCAUGGGGAUGAAUAGGUCUAGGAUCGACCCACCUGGUGAAGCCACAGUUCUCUUUUGACAAGGAUGACUGCAAUAAGUAUGUAGCUUUAGCACAAGAGAGUAACAUAUUGAUGGUUGAAUUAGUAAUAUGACUUACCCAUGCUCGUGGACAUUUGAAGAAACGAUGCCCUCCAUCUAUCCCCUCUGUGUACAUCUGCACCAAACAAUCCUCACCAUGCAUGCAUUUUGGCCACUCUUCUUUUCGGUCAUCAUAUGCCCUCAGUGGUGCCUCUUUAGUAAAAUCAUGUUUGCUCUCAAGGGGGGACCUAUCAUAAAUUGCUUCCUCAAAGUCUUUAGGACCAAGAGGACCCUCCCAAAGAAAGGGAUUACCCUUCAUCGCCCCCUUUCCCUUUCCCUCCCCUCUAGACGACCCUCCAGACAUUUUUACUUCAACUGAACAAUCUGAAGUGAGUAGCAACGCUCUCACCACUGCGUAUAUAUAGGAACCCCAAGACUUGGUAGCCGUUGUAAUACAGAAUAAAUGCACCUGAAAAGCCUAGAUUCGAUUACUGAAAAGCCUAGUUAAAACCUGAAAAGUCUAUUUGGAUUGUCAUCUGAAAAGGCUAGAUUCGCUCACUGUUUCGGAUGUGAUGAUUCAAUGAAAAGCCCAUAUUGGUUCACUGUUUCUGAAAAGCAAUUGGAAUGGACCACAAAAUAUAUGUACUACAUUGAUGUAUGUGUUAGUGUAGCACAAUGAAUAAUUCAUGGAAAAAAUUUGCAAGAGUUUCCCCUGUUUUAGGACCAUCCACUGUUAUAAAUAGACAUCAUAAUAUAAUACAAAUAUUGAUUCAUCCAAAUAGCACAACACAAGCACAUAUGUCAUCAGAAAUGAUAGUUCAAAUAGUCCACAAAGACCAUACAUUCCCAUAUAGUACAAAUAGUCCACAAAGAUCACAAUGUCGAUACAUGCAAAAUAAGAAAACUCAUGCCAUCAAUUCUAAGCUGCUACCAUGGUGUUAGCCCAGAAGUCAUCAUCACUGCCUCCUAGUCUUACCCUUACCCUUGUGGCCAAGAGCAUCGGUGCCGGGAGUGUACCUAGAAGGUGAACGACAUCACAUUCUUGCAACCUGCGUAGGUUGAGUAGAAGGAGCAUCAAGAAGCUGAGAUGACCCAAGCUCGUCAUAGUCAUGCUCCUCGGCCACCCCCUCUUCGUCCUCAUCAUCAUCGCUUUGAAAAGUGUCCAUGGUUGGCCGAGACGAGCUCUGUCCUCCAAAUCCUAUCAACAUUGUUCAAAUGAUGUGUGCACAUAAGUCAUUGUAUCUGUUGGGUAUUCUUAACAUCAUUACCAAAAGUAGACUUUUCUAAUUCUAGUAACGGUGCCAAAAAUGCCAAACCUAUCCCUCAUACCACUUAAGCCAAGUUGUCAUCCCCACCAUGACAUGAGAGACGCGGUAUUGAAAUAUGCAAGUGCUCUUCUAAAUAACUAAUGAAUGGGAUCUGCAAGUGCACAGAUUAAUACCGAUGUAGCAUUUUAACCGGGAAGUAUUCCAAGUAUCGUUAUUUAUAUUUUUACCACUAGGAAGGGGUUACCAAUCAUCAAUAUUGAUUACAGAAUAGAAUAUGAGAUUGAGUAUCUAUCAUUGCAUGUAUAAUUGAGAACAUUGUAUCUAAUUCUUUCAUACAGGGAUAAGUGUCAUAUAAAGGAUAUAUGAAGUAAUGAAUAGUGACAAGAUAACUAAUCUGAUCAGCAUAACUUAGCCACAUAAUAAAUAUGAUAAGCACCUCAAUUAGAUACUCUAGAAAGUCAUUAGCAUGGUAUUAGAACGAACUACAAGAAUAUUUACUAAGUUAUUCUCAACUAUAUAGUCUAGCAUUAUCAUAGUUAGUGCAAGCAUACUUAGCCAUCAUUGCGAGACAAGACUACGCCCAUGCAUAGUGAUAUUAGCAAGGUAAAUGAGAAACAUAGCAAUCACUCCCCUGUAAUAAUGUUGCUCUGCCAGCCCAAUACACGAGAGGGGGACUAUAUAAGAAUCAAUGAAGCUGUCACUAUCACGAACCACCCCACGAUCUGGCAUAUUGGGUACAAUCGCAGAUAAAUACGGUAUAAGCACCACGCCUACACAAUAUCUAUCAUUUACCCAUGGAUCCGAUGGAUAAACGCUAUACGAUCCUAAGCAUGUAUAUAGAUCCAAUCUAACUAAGCCAAGUAUAUAACUAUGAUAAACUAAGAAUAAUAUAAUCUUGAAUAUAAACAAGUAGAGCAAAGUCAUAAGGAAUAUAUUGAAGUAGAACAAAGUCAUAUUCAUAAUAUUGAAGAACAAAGAUGAUUAGAAGAACAAUUAGAAGCACAAUUAGAGAAUUACCAAGAAUCCUCUUGACAGAUCCGGAAACCAAUCGAAGAUUGACUCCUUCUAGUUCUAAUCCUAUGUAGCUAUGCUAAUCUAGAUGUCUAAUUGAUGUGGUGGCUCUAGGCUUGAUCAGAGGCUUUUCUCCCUUGAGGAAUAAUGAAUUAGGGUUGAGAGGCUCUCUCCUCCAGGGGCCAGGGGGUCUGGUUUUAUAGUCCCUUCAAGUGAAUAUGGGCCGUUGGAUCAAACCGACAUUGAUUGAACGGUUAUCCUUGAUCCUUUAGGUCGGUGGAGAUUGAUCCCGAAAGAGAGUCCUGAUCCAACUCAGAGAGGGGGCGGGCGCCCAGGGCAACUGGGCGGGCGCCCAGUGCCUGGCCCCGUUCGGCCUCCGCUUCCUUCCUGUGGCUUCUGGAGUCUUCUAGAUGUAAGAUAAUUGCGCGGCACAUUGAUAUCUCUAUGUAAUCCUGACGUGUGGGCCUUUCUUUCGUAUUUUCUGAUAACCCCCUGCAGAAAUAGACAAACACCAAAACUCGUGGAAUUCUGUCAGAUAAAACCCUAAGUCUAGAUUUUGAUUUCAUUUGGAUCCUUUUCUUUGUUUAUUUGAUAAUUAAAUUUGAUACUUAAGGACCGUCAACAAACUCCCCCAAGCUUACCUCUUGCUUGUCCCUGAGCAAGGAUAAUUUCAUUGAUGAAUCAGAAGUUGUUGCAAUACUUUUAAAAAUUGACGGUACACAUGCUUUUAAAUAGGAUCUCAUCUCUGAGUUAGAGUAAACUGUCAAGACUUCAAACUUAUUCAUUUUACCUUUCACCAUGGGACUUGUAACCGUCACUUCUGUCUUCAGUAGUUAAAAGAUAGAACAGUCUAGUCAAGUGCCAUGUCUCUUAUUCUUGAUCAGAUAUAGCUCUGGAGUUUUUGCAGAUUUUCAAAUAAAACUCAGAGAUUCCUUGUAUGACUCUCUCAAAUCUCUCUUUUGUGGUAUUUCUGGAUCCUUACCAAGGCAGUGAUGGUAUAUGUAGUAUUUGUGGUAUAAGGCAUAGUAACAUUGCCUUCUCUCUCAUCCUACUCUAAUAAGGCUUGAUAUCUGGAGCUCAUAGGUGGGAGAUAAAAUAUACAUACUUACAAGACAUUUAUUGUGUAGUCAAACCAUGGAUCCAAAGAAACAAAUCAAUAAGUCAAAUCAAGAUGUGCAUGUGUGGUGAAUGAAUGGUGUAUGAUGAUGAUGGUAAUAACAAUGGUGAAAGCCUAAUUCUACUUUUGCUCUUUGAGGGGAUACAUACCUUCCUUGCUUUUUGAAAUUUUGUGAGCAGAAUGAGAUGCUCUUCUUUUUUCUUUUUCUUUCCUCUCAGGUGGGUAUCUUGUACCCCUAAUUCUACUGUCGGACACUUGUCCAUUUUUACCCCUCGUCUCACUUUUUCUUUUCUCUCGAGGUUCCGGGCACUUGCCCCUUUUAUUUCCUCGUAUCUUUCUUUUUUUAGAGCACUCAUCUCUUGAGAUAAUAUAGCAAGUGGUAAUAACAAGAUAACUUGAGCAUUUAUUUCAUAGGGGAAAAACAGAAAUGUUUUUGGCUAUUCUCUCCCGGAUUAGGAAUAGAAUAUUUUUGGGUGAUUCUGGAGAUGGAAAUGAGUUGAUAUAUGUGGAUAGUACUUUCGGAGUAGAAGUAGCAUGUAUGAGUGAACGUGCAAGUGAAUCUUGAUUUAACCACAUGACAAGCUCCUAAGGGUCUACACAGCUUGACCACACUCAAUGCUCAUAAGCAGUAAAUAGUAAAUGUGUGGCUCAAAGUCUAGCAAGCAUGUAUAUAUGGCUGUGGUAGGAAUUUAAACUCUCAUCAUAUAGGAACUCAUUAUGUGUUAUUUUAAAGAUUUUAAAAGAUAAAAUUCUCCAGAAUUCUAGCAUCUCUAGGAACAGAUAAACAACAGCUCAAUAUCCGUUAACAACUUAGACUUCAGAUUAAGUUUUCAUCCCACAAGUUUAGGUUUAGAGCAAGCUUUAAAUUAUAACAGUUAUGUCUAAACUUGAGAGAGAACUUAAAUUUGAAAAUUAGGCAGAGCAACUAUUCAUCAUAUCCAUGCUAGAGUUUUAUUUAGAUACAGUUUAACAUAGCCACUUUAUUUAUUUAUUAAACACACUAAGCAAAAGACAUAUAUUUAUAUAGGCACAAAAUCUUUAUUUGGUUUUUUCUGGUUUAUGUAUAUUUAUAUUCUAAUAUAAUAUAAGUAUAAAGAUAGAUAGAUAUACUUAUCGAGAUAAAUGGGGGUGCUCUCCCCCAAGCUGAAUUUUGACGUAAUUUCUCUUGAUGUAGCUAGCAGGUGGCAGAGGUGUAUUUGAAAGUCAGCAGCAUUCUGACAGCGAUUAGAAUGUCCUUCGUCUCCUACUCUUCUUAAUUCUUGAUUUCUGUGGAGCUCAAAAAGACAACAAAGCUUUGUGGAACUGAUUAAGUGUUAGCAUAAAUAUCUAGCCUUUAUCAUGUUGAGACUCCUUAACAAAUAUUAAUCCCUAUUUUUAUAUUUUCAUUUUAUAAAGCAGAAAAUAAAUAUUUAUUUUAUUUUUAUGCCACCACAGUGAAUAUACUUAUGGGUUUUAUGCCACUCGUAUACUCACAUGGGGCUUACUAUUCUUUAAUAUUUUAAUUUUCUUUUUAGGAUAGUAUAAAUAUAACUAAUUAAGUAAACUAUUUUAAAUAAUUGAAAGAGAAAGGAUAACUACCAAGUUUACCUCUUGGCAAGACGUUCGGUGUUUUUAAGUCCUCCGAACAGGACUCCAUUUUCUUCAAUUGUCCUGGGAUUCGUUGGGUGGCGGAGUCGGUACUUCCAGCGGUGCCUUCUCUUCGUGUAUGGUUAUCUUCUCUCUCCACACCUGACUUGGUGCUUCGGUCUCCUCAGGAUAGUUCUGUUUAAACUGUAUGUCUUCUGACCUUACUACUUCUCCUUCGUAGUCUGCCCAUCCGUCCUUGAUGAUCUGCCUCCUCUGGUUGCGGUUGCGUCGCUUUCUGACCUGCUUAGAUUCUUCAACGAUAUAGUUAGGGUCAGUAAAAUAGCGGCGUACCUUCUCUGAGGGGAAGUGCAUAUGGACUUCUCCAGUUCCAAUAUAGAUGAUUGCUUUAACAGUGCUGAGGAACGGUCUUGAAAGGAUGAUGGGUGGAUCAUACUCGUCUUCUCCCAUGUCAAUAACCUGAAAGUCUGUGUAGACAAAAUGAUCGUCUAUUUUGACUGGGACAUCAGUUACUGUUCCUUUAACUUCUCGAAAUGUCUGAUCUGCCAUCUGGAGCUGAAUGCAUGUUGGUUUUAGGGGCAUCGUUCCGAACAAGAGCCGAUAGGUGACUGCGGCCAUUUUGUUGACGCCCGAUUCGGUGUCGCAAGUCGUCUUGUAGAAGUUGUAUCCAUUUAUGGAGCAAUAGAUGCUUGGCAUUCCUGGGUCAUCCUUCUUGGUAAGAAAUGGUGACUUAAGUUGAUGAUCUUGACCUCCAUGAACUGCAGUGAACAUCUUAGCUGACUCGGUCCACACUUGCUUAUUCCUGUUCCUCCUGUUGGUCCUCUUCCUUGAUUCAUGUCGAGAUUGAUCUGGGAUUUGUGUAGUCUUGUUCUUGAAGGAAAACGUCUCCUUUCUCCCUUUGAUGUAGAAACUGAUCUUGGCAGCACUAGCGUAGAUGACAGCUCACGAGGUGUUUAAGAAUGGCCUCCCUAAGAUCAUGGGUGCUCUCUCAUCAUUACCAGUCUCUAUCACCACGAAGUCUGCUAGGGCAUAUAAGGUACCAACUUGGACACAAAGGUUCUUCAAUAUUCCCUUUGGAAAACUUAACACCUGAUCUGCAAACUGCAAACACAUGGUUGUUUCUAAUAAAUGAUAUGUAAAGAAUUUUUCAUAGAGUACCCUGGGUAUAAUGUUGACACUAGAGCCAAAGUCAUAGAGUGCUUCUGGGACGUCCACCAUGCCGAUGGAGAUCGGGAUGACGGGGCGUCCUGGAUCGCCUCUCUUGACUGGCAGAAGGUCAGUAGUAACUUCAGUGACGGGGUUACUCCAGUUAUUACCUGCAUCAAAUAUGUCUACAAGAUUUGCAGAUUCGAGUCCUUCCGGUUGUGAUGGUAUACCGGGGUUAGUAGUAGGAACAGCAGCAGCUAUUUGAUUUAACUGAGAUUCAAUCAUUUUAUUAAAGCUAAUUUGAUUCUUGAUGGCAAUAGAUAAAUUAUCCAUUCUAUUAUUUAUAUUUUCUAGCAUUUUAUCAUUUGAUGCCAAUUUCUUAGAUAGGUUAUCCAUUAUCUUUCCUUGAUUAGACACUAACUCUCUCAGAGGUGGAAAAUUAUUAUUAUUAUCGUAAGAAUUGUUACCUUGAUAGUUACCAGAGUAGUUAGGCCUCUGUUGAUUCCAACAUUGAUUUUGUUGAGGACGGUUGUAGUAGUUGUUGUUGUUGAUGAUGUAGUUCACAUCCUCAAGCAUCUCAGGACAGUGAUUGCCUGAGUGUCCAGUAUCUCCACACUCCUCACAAGUCAUGUGAGAGUCGUAGAUGUGCAUAACUUCUUUCUUAUCUCCAGCUAUCAUCGAGCAUCUUCAUGAGCAGGUCAAGCUUUGCAGACAGCAUGUCUACCUCCUUGAGCUGAUGCAUACCUCCACCUUUCUUGCGUGUCUGGGUCCUCUCUUCAUUCCAGCCUUGAUUGGACGCCAUCUUCUCCACAAGAGCUGUGGCUUGUGGUAUGGUGAGUGAUAGGAAUGCUCCUCCGGCUGCAGCAUCCAUGGUCUCUCGGGCACUGUUGCCGAGCCCGUGAUAAAACGUCUGCAUCAAUAGCCAACUCUCCAUUCCAUGAUGGGGACAUUCUAGGAUGUAGUCUUAGAAGUGCUCCCAUGCUUCUGGAACAGAUUCAUCAUUUUGUUGCUGAAAACAUGUAAUUUUCCCACGGAGAGGAUUGGUCUUGCCCAUGGGAAAGAACUUAGCCAGAAAGUUCGUGGAGCAGAGUGCCCACGUAGUAUUCUUCUCCUUUGUAGCAUAAAACCACUGCUUCGCUCUCCCCAACAGUGAGAAUGGGAAGAGGCGAAGUAGUAUAGCAUCUUUGGGGACUCCUGAUAUGGUAAAUGUGCUGCAAAUCUCUAGGAAAUGUUGGAGAUUAGCACUAGCAUCUUCGUGUGCCUUCCCAGAGAACUGGUUGGAUUCCAUCAUGUUGAUAAGUCCAGGCUUGAGCUCAAAGUUGCCGUCGAUCUCUGCAGCAGGUCCAGUGCGGAUGUUUUCUGUAGUGGGAGCUGAGAACUCGCGGAUCGAUUUGUUCGCCAUAGCUUCGAACUCUUAAGACAAGUUCCGGUGAUCUUCUUGAUUGGAUGAAGCUUCUUGCUGAAGUGUUGAUGAUCUCCUCUUGAGCUUGGCUCUUGUUUUCCUGAAUAAGGCUUCGGGAUUGUCAACAAAAUUUCCUGGAAGAUGUCUUCUAUUCAUACAUUCCCCUGCACAAGAUAGAAAUAGAAAAAUAUUGGGGUAAAAUUGUAUGAGAGAAUAGAUAAGCUCAAUCAUAUUAGUGAUGCGAAUGAUAACUCAAAAAUCUAUAUCUAUUCCUGAUUAGUAAUCAACCUUCUCCGGCAACGGCGCCAAAAAUACUUGUUGGGUAUUCUUAACAUCAUUACCAAAAGUAGACUUUUCUAAUUCUAGUAACGGUGCCAAAAAUGCCAAACCUAUCCCUCAUACCACUUAAGCCAACUUGUCAUCCCCAGCAUGACAUGAGAGACGCGGUAUUGAAAUAUGCAAUUGCUCUUCUAAAUAAAUAAUGAAUAGGAUCUGCAAGCGCACAGAUUAAUACCGAUGUAGCAUUUUAACCGGGAAGUAUUCCAGGUAUCGUUAUUUAUAUUUUUACCACUAGGAAGGGAUUAGCAAUCAUCAAUAUUGAUUACAGAAUAGAAUAUGAGAUUGAGUAUCUAUCAUUGCAUGUAUAAUUGAGAACAUUGUAUCUAAUUCUUUCAUACAGGGAUAAGUGUCACAUAAAGGAUAUAUGAAGUAAUGAAUAGUGACAAGAUAAUUAAUCUGAUCAGCAUAAUUUAGCCACAUAAUAAAUAUGAUAAGCACCUCAAUUAGAUACUCUAGAAAGUCAUUAGCAUGGUAUUUGAACGAACUACGAGAAUAUUUCCUAAGUUAUUCUCAACUAUAUAGUCUAGCAUUAUCAUAGUUAGUGCAAGCAUACUUAGCAAUCAUUGCCAGACAAGACUACGCCCAUGCAUAGUGAUAUUAGCAAGGUAAAUGAGAAACAUAGCAAUCACUCCCAUGUAAUAAUGUUGCUCUGCCAGCCGAAUACACGAGAGGGGGGACUAUAUAAGAAUCAAUGAAGCUGUCACUAUCACGAACUACCCCGCGAUCUGGCACAUUGGGUACAAUCGCAGAUAAAUACGGUAUAAGCACCACGCCUACACAAUAUCUAUCAUUUACCCAUGGAUCUGAUGGAUAAACGCUAUACGAUCCUAAACAUGUAUAUAGAUCCAAUCUAACUAAGCCAAGUACAUAACUAUGAUAAACUAAGAACAACAUAAUCUUGAAUAUAAACAAGUAGAGCAAAGUCAUAAGCAAUAUAUUGAAGUAGAACAAAGUCAUAUUCAUAAUAUUGAAGAACAAAGAUUAUUAGAAGAACAAUUAGAAGCACAAUUAGAGAAUUACCAAGAAUCCUCUUGACAGAUCUGGAAACCAAUCGAAGAUUGACUCCUUCUAGUUCUAAUCCUAUGUGGCUAUGCUAAUCUAGAUGUCUAAUUGAUGUGGUGGCUCUAGGCUUGAUCAGAGGCUUUUCUCCCUUGAGGAAUAAUGAAUUAUGGUUGAGAGGCUCUCUCCUCCAGGGGCCAGGGGGUCUGGUUUUAUAGUCCCUUCAAGUGAAUAUGGGCCGUUGGAUCAAACUGACAUUGAUUGAACGGUUAUCCUUGAUCCUUUAGGUCGGUGGAGAUUGAUCCCGAAAGAGAGUCCUGAUCCAACUCAGAGAGGAGGCGGGCGCCCAGGGCAACUGGGCGGGCGCCCAGGGCCUGGCCCCGUUCGGCCUCCGCUUCCUUCCCGUGGCUUCUAGAGUCUUCUAGAUGUAAGAUAAUUGCGCGGCACGUUGAUAUCUCUAUGUAAUCCUGACGUGUGGGCCUUUCUUCCGUAUUUCCUGAUAACCCCUAUAGAAAUAGACAAACACCAAAACUCGUGGAAUUCUGUCAGAUAAAACCCUAAGUCUAGAUCUUGAUUUCAUUUGGAUCCUUUUCUUUGUUUAUUUGAUAAUUAAAUUUGAUACUUAAGGACCGUCAACAAUAUCAUACCAUGAAAAUUGCUCAGUUCAAGUAAACAACAAAUUUAAUGUAAAUAUACCUCCCAAAAAAGAUGUACCAUGCCCAACAGGUGUGUUGCAUUGUUGUUCAUGUGGCACAUGCACAUUCAUCGCUGCACUAGUACCGCAACCGCAACGAGCUGCAUCACGUCGUAGCCUACAUGCUUGCCUCUAUUAUGCAAAGAUUAAAAUUCAUAUUGUUAGAUAUAUAAUAGAUGAGGGCCGUAAUACUUGUUCUUGAAAACCGUUCGAUGUCAAGUACUUACUCCAAGACAGUUGUUUAGUGUGUGGUCGUCCACGCCUGUUCUUGGAAACCGUUCGAUGUCAAGUACAGAUUGCUUGAGUGUGUUGCCCUAUAAGAUAAGACAUGUAUUAAUUUAUAUAGGUGCAAUUUCUUCAAUACAACAACCAUACAAUAGUUAAGUGGAAAGGGAAUGUACCACUCGGUCCAAGACAGGUGCUGCCUCGAUAAGUGUCUCUUGUUGUGCUGCAAGGUCAUAGAAAGUGUCCUCAUCCUCAGAUGAUUCAAGGUACGCAUAAUCUGCUUGGGUCCACUGAAUUUUUAACCUUGUUCGUGUAACACCUAGGUACCAAGUUAGGUAUGCACGAAAAUUGUAGUUGGUAUGUGGUUGCUCAUUUUCGUAGAGGUUGUCAUGAAACUGGUCCCACACCUCUAUGUGGUGACGGUGCAGCGUCUCAAACUCAACUGUCUUCUUCUGCUUCUGACGAUCAAUCCUGAAAUCAAAUAUUAAUGAUGAAGAUACUAAAACAGAUUAAACAACAUUGAAUAAAAAACUCAGUACUUUGGGGCAGCAUAUAUGGUAUUGAACUUUGAAUAAAUAUUGAACUAGCAAUAUGGAUAGGGGCUGUGCUAAAUUGAACGAAAUAAAUGACUGAGAAUAUAAAUUUCAGCAAGUAUGUUAGAAUUGAUUGCAACAAGUACGAUAUAUAUGACUGAAGAUAUAAAUUUCAGCAAGCAUGGAUAGACAAAUGCACAUUGUUGGUAUUGAACUUUGAAUAAAUAUUGAACUUUGAAUAAAUUUCAGCAAACAUUGAAUCAAAAAGUCUUUACUUUGGGUAGCAUAUAUGGUUUUGAACUUUGAAUAAAUAUUGAACUAGCAACAUACCGCAUGUGGUUAUAAAUUUCAGCAAGCAUGUAAAUUGGACCAAGUAGGAAAUAAAUUUUAGCAAGCAUGUAAAUUUCAGCAAGUAGGUUGGAAUUGAUUGCAACAAGUACAAUAUAAAUGACUGAGGAUAUAAAUUUCAGCAAGCAUAGAUAGGAACAUGCACAUUUAUGGUUUUGAACUUCGAAUAAAUAUUGAACUUUGAAUAAAUUUCAGCAAACAUUUCUAUCAAUUUCAUGGAAAUUUGACCAAAAGGACUUACUUGUGCAGCUCCACGAACAUAUCGAACGGCUGGACAUGCCAUUGCUGGCUCAAGCCAAAUUGGCGGACAACUCGAUUUGAAAGGUGCCACUCAACAGCAAAGAAGCAAAUCAGAGGGCACAUCAUCAUGUACAAGUCUUCAUCCUCGCUACACAUGUUGCUUACUCCAAGAUGCAGCGCAUCAUUGUCCGUGUAUAGCUCCCAAUUCACCUGCAAACAAAAGACAUGUAUAGGGCAAGUUAGAGCAACUAUCGUGCAUACAUAGUACAAGAACUACUGCAUUUUACUCACCAUGGAAGGCCUAAGCGUGUCAAGCUCAUUGGCAUAUUGUACGUACGCAUGUGAAGUCCUGCUGAAGGGGACUUUCGCCUGGUCCCAAAGAUGGGCAAACGUCGGACGGUGAUGAGGGUUGCCCACUGCAAACCAUUCCUGAGGAGCGUCAACUAUGGGCCGUCCAACUGGGAGACGAGACCACAUCCAAAGCUUCAGUAGGUAAAUAGAACCACCAAUGGAAGAACUGCAGUUCGACGGCACGCCUCACAAAGGCUACGGUAUAGGUAAGCCAGCACUCCCGAAGCCCAGCUAUAAGUACCUGUGGUGUCCCAGUCAGUGAGGCACGGGAGGUACAUCCACAAUGCAGUGUCUCAUGUCCCGUCAGGAAAAAGAACACACCCAAAUAGUUGCAAGAUCCAAGCUCUACAGUAGUAGGCAACUGUCUCCUGGUCCGCAUGUGCCGGACAGUUCUCAAAGCUCUGCCUAAGCCAAGUAAUUGGUACCCCUGUGGUGCGGUACGUCAAUGCCUCCAGAGGAAGUGGUCUUCCAAGGAAGGCCUCGACUCUGUCCCUCCAACCAUCGGGCCUGCAGUGUCCGAUAACUGGACGACCUCUAACGCUCAAACCAAGGAACUUCUGACUACAGACAUCUCUCCACAAGGUAGGUGGAAACUAUGAGUUUCUGGCCUCCACCUAUAAAUCAAAUUAAAGAACAUUGUUGUUAGGUUCUUCGGAAAGAUAAAUAAAAUUUGUUGGAAAUAACAUACGAUUACUAUGGAGAAAUGGUGCACCUGUCAACCAAAGCUGUGAUCGCCGCGGGGUUAAUUGGAGGCAACCCACGACGAACCUGAUACGAUAUGACAUCCAGGCCAGCCCUCUGUAGCAGAGGUGUGUACCUGUCGUCAUACCGCAUCUCCUCGAAUUUGUCAUGGGUUUGAGGUCGAAGCGGGGGUAGUUUCUGCAACCGUUACAAUCAAUUUAUUUAAUGCAUAAGUAAGAAAAUUAAUAAUAAUUGAUAAGGAAAGCUUGAAGUAAGUGCCGCCCCCUCUGCCACAUCUUCCACACCCACCUCAUGACUGGGUAACGGGGGAGCUGAGGGUGCCGGAUUGUCCGGUUCUGGUGAGAACCCACCAAGAGGUGGUUGGCAAUUAGGAGGAGAAUCCACUAGAGAGGUUGGUUCCUUGGACAACUUGCGCACAACCAAAUCAAAACAUUGAAACUCACUCGUCAUGACACUUUUGACAUAUUUGUCCUAUUGAACCUUGGAUACAAUUGGAACCAACCGCCUAAAAAUUGUCUCUAACCGGCCAUGGUGAAGUACCCCCUCAAUCAAUAUGUCAUCUUCAAUUAAAUUGCAUUUAAGCACGUCACGAGCACUACCCAUCAACUCAGAAAACAAAGGUCGAUCAUCAAACAUUAAAGGAACCCUUUGCAUUCCAACAAAACAAACAUUCCCAAACUGAUCUUCCUCCACACUUCCUCCAUGAUAUAGGGUUACUAAGUUGUCCAUCUAAUUGGUAUGCACAACACAAAAGUUACUUGGGAUAUAAGUAAUACAAGUAGAACUAUAUUAUUAUUACCUUUCUAAAAUAAUACCUAUGUCUGUAAAUAAGAAUCAAACUAUCUAUUUACCUAAAUAUGAAUCUAUCUAACUAACUAUGUAUCUUUAACUAAUUAUGUAUAUUACUAUAUAACUAAAUUUACUAACUAGAUUGGGACUACAUUGUCACCAAACUAUAUAAAUAAGUUAAAUAACUACGCUAUAUUAGAUACUAUUUUUCAAUACAUGUAAUAUCUAACUAAAUUACAACACUAAUAAAAUACUAAUUAUAUGAAUUAUCCAAUAUACAAAAUUACCAGUGCAAGGAAAACAAGAAGAAAAUGAAGGAAGAGAAGAGGGAGGCUCACCGUCGGUGGAGGAGGCGUGGUGGAGGAGGAUGAGGCGCGGUGGAGGCCGUCAGUGGAGGAGGCGCGGCCCACCACCGCGGCCGGCCACCAGACCGAGGGCGCCCUACGCGGCGCAGGUGGAGGAGCAGCCGCGAGGGAGACGAGGUGGGCGCGGCGCGGCUGGCGAGCAGGGAGGAGGAGGCGAGGCGGGCGCGGCGCGGCCGGCGAGCCGGGCGCGGAACGGCUCGGCGAGGUGAGGCGGGCGCGGCGCGGCCGUCGGUGGGCGUCGGGGAUGAAUGCGCGAACAGGAGUCGGCCGUUUUGGAUUACACAGGUUGACGCCGUGAUCUGCGGCGUCGAGCUCGACGCCGUGAUCUGUGGCGCCGAGCUCGACGCCAUGAUCCACGGCGUCGAGUAUUUUUUUUGGCCACCUAAACCGCCACGUCUGACGACACGCUGGGCUCGCCAAGGGAGCUCGACACCGUGAUCCAUAGCGUCGAAACGUGUAACCUCGACGCCAUGCUUCACGGCGUCGACCCCCUGGGUCCAAAACUGAGUUUUUGUCAACCAGGGGUCCAAAAGAGAAGUUUUUUCAAAAAAGGGCCAAAUUGUAAAAAAUUAGGACAAGUGGAGCUCCAUUGUUGGGGCUGAUAGAUGGGUGCAGCUCUGAUUUUAGGAGUCAUCGUCUAAAGUUAUACUUAUCUGAAGCAAUUGUUGCCUAUGGUACUUGAGAUAUAGUGACAACUAGCAUGGCUUCACGAUACCAUAAAUAAGGUGGUUAUGUCUUGAUAUUACCUUGUUUGUUUGAGUUUAUUUGUUGAAUCUACAUACUAUUUAGUAGUGUUUUUUCUCACAACAAAUUAGCAAACAAUACUCUAUCUGUUAAACCCUUAAAGGCCUUCGGUAAGCAUUUUGACAUUCUGUGGUACUUUGCCGCAACAUGUUAAUGUUUUUAUCUUCAGUUCACAUUAUUGUUUUCUGAAUCCAUGUGUUUCAUAUUAUCAUGACCAUAUAUGGAAUACACACACAGAUUCAUUUAAAUAUGACUGUUUUAUGGGUGCAUGCUCAAGCCAAGAGAUGUCUCAACAUUUUCUUAAUGACUCAUGUUACCUGCAUAGAUAAGCUGACAACAACAACUACUGCAAAUGGAGAACAUGAUAACCUGAUGACUACAAGAUGACUUUGUACGAGCUCGACGUGUUUGUAAUACUGUGCUCGGAGACAAGCUGUCAAAUACAUCAUUUCACUCACUUUAUUUAAAUCAAGACCUAUGGAUACUACUGUACUGAAGCUACAAAUGAAGAACUUGCAAUCUGUUACCGUGUAUUUUGCUUGAUUAUCAAUGACAUAAGACAAGAAAUGAAUAUAUUUUAAGAUGACUUUGCUUUUGUUAUAUCUGUACAUCCACAUGUUUAUUCCCAUGUCUACCGAAGUGCUAUAAGUACUACUAAAGUCAAUUUUGAUAAUAGCUUUUGCUCAAUCUGAGACUUCUCUUGUGUAUAUUAUAUGAUUGAUAUAGCAAGAGCUAUAUUACUUUCUUUUUCUUUUUCGUUUUCGUUUUCUUUUUCUUUUUCUUUUUCUUGUGUGUUGGAAGUGCUUUGUUAACAUUGGACUCAAGUACUCCGUCUGUUUUUAUUUAUAUUUCUUAUUAGCUUUAUCUUAACUUAAACAUUUGUAUCUUUGAUCAUCAUUUUUCUAAAAAUAAUAUAGAUUUAUGAUAUAAGGUUUAUGUUUUUAGAUUUAUUAUAUGAAAAACAUUUUCACAUUUUAUGAUUCAUAGGUUGCAAAAAUAUAUAAUUUUUUUUCAAAAUGGGUGGCCAAAGAUCGAUGUAAUAUUUUACUUAUAACAAACCUAGUGUGCUAUGUAAAAAAAAGAUGAAGAGAGUAGUAGCCAUUGAGUGUGUACCAAAAACUUUUGUACAUGACUUCGCACAUAUUCAUGUGUACAUUUUUUGCACGAAAAACUUUUGUACGUGAAUGCUCAUGCACAAAUUCCAACUAUAUAUUAAUACUAUUAAAUAUUCUAUCUUAAUCUAGAAAGGGCGCGGCCUUGCUGCGCCUAGUUUUUCUAGAAUAUAGAGUAUACCUAUAUAUAAGAGGAUGUGUUUAGUAUCAAAUCGUCCAAACACUUCUUUGUAAAAGAAAAAGGUUCUAAGUAAUUUUUUUAUACCUCAAUACUUUAAGUCUAAGGUCGUGUUUAGAUGCAAAUUUUUUUUGAAGUUUGACACUGUAGCAUUUUAUUUGUAUUUGACAAAUAUUAUUCAACCAUAGACUAACUAGACUCAAAAGAUUCGUCUCGUGGUUUACAGAUAAACUGUGUAAUUAAUUAUUUUUUUAUCUAUAUUUAAUGCUAUAUGCAUGCGUCCAAAGAUUUGAUGCAAUAGAAAAUCUUAUAAAUUUUUAGAAUUUUAGGUGCUAAACAAGGCCUAAACUUAAAUACAAACUCACAGUCACACCAUAGAUACGCCCUACCUCAUAUCUAUACCUAAAGACACGUGCGACAGAGAAGUACUUAAAGAUCAAUAAAGCGUGAUGGGUACAACACCGAUCUUGACCAUUGUAAAAUAUCCGCGUUUGAGGCUGGAAAAAAAAAAGAACGGUGCGAAAACGUGUCACCAAGGUUGCCGGCGCUGCACCGAGUGUUCCCGAUCACCGAGCCAAUGGCUCGUUCGCGGUUCUACGUAUUUUGAUAUACAUGAUGAUGCCAUGUCAUUUCGGAAUUCGGAGGACGAAUGCUCAUAAUAAAUGAGAAAUGGUCGCCACGUCCGCACCAUGCAUUCCUCUCUCCUGUCCUGUCUCCUUCCCAUCUAGCAGUUGGCCAAAAGCAAAAGGCACCACCUUUCCCUUCGCCCGCAGACUUGUCCGAUCCGCAACCAAACCAAACUCCACAACAUUUCCUCCAGCGGCCUGUUCAAGAAACCUGGAUCAAUCCAACCUUAAUUCAAUCGCACAUUCGGCGGGAUCUCCCUUGAGUUGCAAUGGAAGAGGGGACCACGGAAUCCGGAUCGUUCUCCCGCUCUUCCUCCUUCGUAAGCUCAUCGCAAUUAAAACAAAAGUUGAUUUGAUUUGGUUCCCGUCCCCUAUUCUUGGAAGUAGAAGGGCAACACUUUCUUGAUCUCGAUGAAUUCCUGCAGGGCGGGUUCGAGGAGUGGGUGGCAUUGGUGAGGAAACGCAAUGGGAAGGCCUCCUCGUGCGGGCGUCUGGGUCUCCGUUCAUCAGCCAGGUAUAUACCGCCAUUUCGUCUCGCUCUUCAGUUCCUGUGAUCCAUUGGUGGCGAAAGAACAGCUCCUUCUUUCCAUACUCAGCCACGCAAUUGGAUGUGGAUCUGAGAACUUUUUUUUAUAUCAUUCCUCUUCUGAUGCAUUAAGUCGACGAUGAAUUUUUGUUACUUGUACAACAAUUAAGUUUCUUACUUUUUGACAAUCUUUCACGUGCCUGUAUUUCAUCAAAAUUUCAAUGUUUGAUUUAUGAGCGGUGCACCUCUUGUUGGUAUGCUGAAAAUGCGUACGUUUAUAUAUCUAAUCAUCAAGCAUCGUGAACUUUGUACAGUAUGAACCAUCUUACUUACUGUUUUAUAUUACUACUUAAUUGAAAAUACACAUUGUAUCCAAAUGAUUUGUACCAUGAGUAUAAUUUGUUUCUUCAUAGCAUGGGGACGGGUUUGUCAAGGCAGAUUAUACUUUUUGUUUCAAUAACUGAUAGUAUUACUGUUGCUCUUACUAUAUUGCAGUUCAGAAGUACUAGAUCUUGCAGAUCCUGAUAGCAAUGUCAUUGACCCUGACCCUUGUGACCAAGUGCCAGAAGGAAUCCUUUGGGAGAGGCUUGGGAGGGUUUCCAUGAUGGAUAUUGAGUCAAGUAACUUCAGUUGGAGCUCUCUCACCUCACUGCACCAUACAAAACAUGCUGCUACAAGUACUGAUCCAUCUGAGGAUGACAUUAGCAGAAGUUUUGAGGUUUUUAUUUGUUCCAUCCAUGCUUUUGCAAAUUACUUUUUUACAGUUGGAGAAAUGUUAUUGGUAAUAAAGGUCUAGGCUAUCUUUUACGAAUAUGUAUAUGAGAACUAAUUUUACAAACAAUGUCUCUAGGUCCUUCUAAUAACUGUACUAUUUUGCUUAGGUGACAGUAAAUUCAGGUGGCGUUGUUUUUAUUGCAUUAUUCAAAGCUAUUGAAAAUGUUGAUCUUCCAUCCAAGGAAACAGCUGCAGUCAUUAAAAUAGCACCUUCAAGGAUGGCCACGCAGUCCGAACGCUUUGGGUACGAACUUGCUAAAUGGCUUGGAGUGAGAACUCCUCAAGUAAGAAUCCACUAUGCUAGCAGGUACUCAUGCUAACUAAAAUGUUGCACUGACAACUCUAUUGACCCAUAUAGGGUAGAGUCAUUCAUAGCUCCUCGUCUGAAUGGCAACAAAUCAAGGAUGCAGUUGAAAAUGCUCGACAUGGAUCCAUAGCUGCUGGUGAUGAACUUGAGGAGAUGAUUUGCGCCGAGAUGCUAGAAGCCCUUGAAUUGAGUCGUUGCCUAUUUCUGAUGAAGUAUAUAUAAACAUGAAGUUGCCACUUACCAGUAAUGUAUUUAUCGAUAUAGUGCUUAUUAUAACACAAAACAAAAUUGUCUUUGCUGUUUUGCAGUUAUGUACAUGGCUCCCCUCUGCUAGAGAAUGUAAUGCCAUUUGAGUCACGGCAAGCUGCUGAAAAAACUGCUGAAGCAUUAGGUAGGGUCUUAAUCCUAGACCUCGUAUUGAGGAAUGAGGAUAGACUGCGAUGCCGUCCCCUUGGCUGGCGUGGAAAUUAUGCAAAUCUACUUGUUGCCAACAGGGAAGCUUAUGCAAACCUUGACACGCUAGAUGAUGUUUAUGAUUCUGCUAUCAUUCGAUACAAGCCAGAGAUCAUCAGAAGCCCUCAGAAACAGAAGCAGAGAAGAGCUGUUUCAAUUAGUGGCAGUAUCGGCUCAGAUGUCUCUGACCUCAUAUUGGAGGACUCUUAUGCUUCUGGUGGACAUGAGUUUUCUAGCUUUAAUAUUGUAGCCAUUGAUUCAGGUGUACCACGCAGGCCACCUGCCAGUAAGCGGGCAAAAGAUCAGGAGAGCUACCCCAAACUAGUGGAAUUAACACUGAACAACUUUGACUAUUCUUCCAAACUUCUAUUUGAGGUGUCCUUCGGAAAACUUGGCACCCCAGGACAUGAAGAAUUUGAUGUAUCAUCUGAUUAUAGUUAUAAUUCUCCUCUCUCUGAGAGUGAUAUGGUAGCAACAGUGCAUUCAUUCCGAGGAGGUUUUCGUAGUGCUCUGAGAGACCUUCAGCGAUUCCACAUUUUCCUCGUCACACUCUAUCAGAAGCUGGAUGGUCUAUUGAAAAUUUUCUUCAAUCUUAUGUAUAAAUGCUCCAAUGAAUAUGCUAGGGAGGAUGCUGGUACUUCUGAUUCACCAUUGUGUUCAGUGGAAUCACAGGCAGAUUCAAAUGAUACUGAUGUUCCAAGGAAUCUGCGUAAGCCUUCCCGAACCUUAUCACGUGACAAUCUAGACCUAUCAUCUCCUUCCUGUCGAGAGAACUUUAUCAGCAAACAUUUCAAAGGAAAUGGUGAUGCCUCCCGUGGCCUUCGGUUAACAAUGAAGCUGCGAGAUUUUAACAAGUAUGCCAAGGUUAAGACCUUUGAAGUGUGGAUGGAUAAUUUGUAUAUUAUAAAAUGUAUAUAUGUAGGUGUCUAGUUGACAUCUAGCUGUUUUUUCCCACUCUCAUAGAUUGUUCCACUAAUUUUUUCCUGAAUAUAGCAUAAAACAGAAUUUUGUUGCAGGCAUGAUUUCAGCAUGCAACUUGCAUAUUAACCAAUGUUUUGUUUCAGGUACAUAUGGUACCUAUCAGACGGCUAUUUAGUUAAUUUGACUGCAAGUCUGCUAUUUGGUGUUUUGCAUAAAUCAGUCAAGUUUGUCAUGCGAUUCUAUUAGUCAUUCAGCAAACUUUUACAGGUAGACAGUGAAUUAAGCAAAGAGAUAGAACAAUGGAAUGACAUGCUGAGGACUGAAGUAGUAAAGUUGUGUCAAGACAACAAUUUUUACACAGGCUUUUUUGAAGGUACUGAUAAUAGCACUGCUGUUGAUGCUUACGAGUUGAAGGUAAAUUUAAAUGUACCCUCUGUACACUACUUGUAUACACAAUAUUGAACCUGUCAAGCCAUUCUGUUGUUAGGUUCGACUUGAGCACAUUCUCGAGAGGAUAUCUUUGAUCUCUGAUGCUGCAAGCACUGAGCGUCCAUCACAGAUCACAGAUUACCUGUAUAUUGGUGGUGCUCUAGCUGCUCGGUCAACACACACACUUAAGCAUCUUGGCAUCACCCAUAUAUUGUGCUUGUGUGCAAAUGAAAUUGGACAGUCAGAAUCACAGAAGCCUGACCUUUUUGAGUAUAGGAAUUUCUCGGUGAGUUCUACCUAAUAUCUCCAUGGAUGGAAAAUUAUUUUCCUUUAGCAUAAGCCAGAAGACCCAGUUUAGAUAUCUUUCAGUGCUUAAUUGCUUCUUUAUAUAGAUAAAGGAUGAUGACAAUGCAGACAUUGGUGAUCUCUUUCAAGAUGGUUCUGAUUUCAUCGAUUACGUGGAUCACUUGCGUGGCAAAGUACUUGUGCAUUGCUUUGAGGGAAAAAGUCGUAGUGCGACUGUUGUUCUUGCCUACCUGAUGCUGAGGAAGUAAGACUGCAAAGUAAUUAUAUUAUCAUUAUCAUGCUUCUCUGUUAAAAUCAAUAACUCACCAUGACUGAAACAACUUAUUACCAGAUUUACCUUUUUUUUAUGUGACCUUAAGGUCUAUCAAUCCAGAAAUGACAUCUGUAAGGAUAGAAAGAUUGCAUCUUUCCUCUCUUUUUUGAAUUGUCCUGGACGCGGUCAUCAUCUCAUAAUUUGCCCUUUUUUUCUUAAGAA